UGAUUCAAUGAUUCAAAUCCUGAAUUUCCUCUUUUGGGAUUUGCUUCUUAUUUGUGUGAUCUCUGUUUUUUUUUUUUUAAAAAAAAAAGAAGAAUUAAUGAAAGAAUGAAUGAAUAAAUAAAGGUAGGAGUUGAUGUGGUAUUUAUGAUAACAAAAAUGAUUUGAGUGGUUUCUUUUUUAUCGAUUGUUUCAUUGAAGUGAACAUGGUUGUCAAAUGUGAAUCAAAUGUUUUUUUUUUUUUUUGGGAAUUUAGGAUCUGUAGUAACGUUGCUUGCCAAGAUUUUAGCAUUCUAGACAGCUGAAUAAAAAAAAACUUUUUUAGUUGUGAAUGACUUGCUUGAUAAUGUAUGCACCUGAUUAAAAAAUGUGAAGAAUUUUUAGCUAAUUUGUUUGAUUCACUUGUUGAUCUUUGGUCGAUUGUAUUGAUGCAUCGUUUGUCUCUUAUAAUUCUUGGUGUUUCUUUUAUAUAUAUAACUGUUUCUUUGUCUUCCUAUGUCUAUGUGGUGGUAUUAUAUUUUAUUUCUACAUCAUUUGAUGCGUAUUUUGUAAUUUUUUUAUUGGUUUUCGCAAGCUGCAGUUUCUUUGUUAAUGGAUUGCUCUGUUGUUUUUUUGUGAUUUGGCAGCCUAGACUGGUUAAAGGCCAGGUUUUGGGUUUUUUUCCCUAUCGUAGUAUCCGGUAUAUAAAAGAUUUUGUUCAUUGUUGAAUACCAAUUUCUCGUUUCUGUUGAGUGAGCAAGCACAACUUGGGAAUCCCAAUUUGGGAUGCUGUGAGGAUCAGUCACUGGAACUCAUGAUAAGGUCUUUCAAUGGGGUCCCUAAACGUGGAGAAGAGAUGGGCUUUCCCUCUUGUUAUAAGCUCCCUCAUAUGUCUGUUCCUUUUAGCAACUUGCUUCAACAUGGGUCUUGUUUCUUCAUUGCACACAAUCAAUCAAAUCUUCAACAUUUUCCAAUUCCGUAUCAACCAGACAACCGAAGUUUAUGCUGAAACAAAAGUCUCGCAAUCUCCUCCCCCUCCUCUCCCUUCCCAAAUUCCUCGAUUUGCUUAUCUGGUUUCUGGGUCUAAAGGUGACUUGGAAAAGCUUUGGAGAACCCUCCAUUCACUUUACCAUCCCCGGAACCAAUAUGUGGUUCAUCUGGACCUCGAGUCCCCAGCAAAUGAAAGAUUGGAGCUUGCGUCACGAGUGGAAAAGCAUCCGGUUUUCUCCAAAGUUGGAAAUGUUUAUAUGAUCAGCAAAGCCAAUAUGGUUACUUACAAAGGACCCACCAUGGUUGCUAAUACACUUCAUGCCUGUGCAAUUCUUCUCAAAAUGGGAAAAGAUUGGGAUUGGUUCAUCAACCUCAGUGCUUCUGAUUAUCCUCUUGUAACUCAAGAUGGUUAGUCUGUGAUUUGAAUUUUAUAUGAAACUAUUCGUUUUUCUUUUUUGGUGGGUGGGUGGGUAGUGGAGGUCAUGGUGAAAUUGUUUGCCUUCAAAUAUCUUUCUGAUUAUUUUGCUAUUAAUAUGCAGAUCUUAUUCACACAUUUUCAACCAUAAACCGAAAUCUGAACUUUAUUGAGCACACAAGUAAAUUGGAGUGGAAAGCGUAAGCACUCUUUCUCUCCCCCGCUUUGAUUUAGAAUCUGUUUCCAGAGAGUGAUCUGAUAUCUGAUGUGGUGUUUAGGGACAAACGGGCGAUGCCUUUGAUUGUAGACCCUGGGCUUUACUCAACAACUAAAGCAGAUAUAUACUGGGCGAUGCCAAGAAGAUCUUUGCCAACAGCAUUUAAAUUAUUCACUGGUUAGUUUUCAUAUUUAACAUAUCCAUAAUCUUUUCACGGAUGCAUGCCAGUAAGGUUGAUUAUUGAUGUUUAAUUCCCUGCAAAAUAAAAAUAAAAUAAAUACUAAUUAGGAUUGAAUUGUUGACAUCUGCAAAUUUUUUAACAAAUCUGUUAGAGCUUUACUCAGUUUCUAAAUGAAUUUAAUGGUAAUCUCUGUUUCUUUGAUAGAGUUUAAGGCUGUCUACUGGCAAUUGCAAUUUGCAACUUUCAACUGGCAAUUGCAAUUUGCAACUUUCAACUGGCAAUGCUUUCUGUAACUAACAUGUUUGUAGUUUCAUGCCAUAAAAGUUCCUUUUUCUAUAUUCUUCAGUUGCUUGUGAUCUAUAGUAACUGAUAGAGUUAAAGCUCUAUGUAUUGAUUACAACUACAGCUUAAUCUGAUGCAUUAGGAGUUUGUUUCAGGAAUGCAUGGCGUCUGUUUCAUAGGUUAUCUUUUUUUUUAUCAGUUUAACAAACCAAUUGGUGUUUAGUCCAGUCAGCUAUUUUGUAGAAUUCAGAACAGGUGUUCAAUUGCAGCCAUUGCUUUACUGAAAAUCGAAGCCCUGAUGGCUUCCAACAUGUGCUUUGCAACUGAAACUCUAAAAAUGCUAGGAACUACGAAGGCCUGCUGUUCUGCUUUCAAUGAACUUCAUAAAUGGAUUCCAUUUGUUUAUGCAGGUUCAGCAUGGAUGGUUCUCACCCGCUCAUUUGUUGAGUACUUAAUUUGGGGUUGGGAUAAUCUACCAAGAACCUUAUUGAUGUAUUACACAAACUUCGUUUCCUCACCUGAAGGAUACUUUCACACAGUAAUAUGCAAUGUGCCAGAGUAUGCUCAAACAGCAGUCAGUCAUGAUUUGCACUACAUUGCUUGGGACAAUCCUCCUAAGCAGCAUCCUCACACCCUUACCCUUAAUGACACAGACCAUAUGAUUGCGAGUGGUGCUGCUUUUGCCAGGAAAUUCAAGAGAGACGACCCUGUCUUGGAUAAGAUUGACAAGGAUUUACUUCACCGGAAGAAUGGGAGCUUCACUCCUGGUGGAUGGUGUUCUGGUAAACCCAAAUGUUCUGAGGUUGGGGACCUGGACAAAAUAAAACCAGGUCCUGGAGCUCAUAGACUGAAACGCCUCAUAGCUAGAGUAGCUUUGAAUACAAAGCUUAAACAAAACCAAUGUAAAUAGGUUUUGGAAAUGUUUCUUGCUUGCAGAUGGAAAAGAACUCAACUUCAAUCUACAUGCCAGAAAAAGGUCUAAAAAAAAUGUUCUGAGAAAUGAACCUUGAUGCUGAAGUUCCAGCUAAGGCUUCAUUCUAUCUUAGAAUCUAAGGUAUGUUAGUUUUUCAUUACAAACUUGGUACGAUCACAAUCUAGUGUAGCACAUUACCUUUCCUCAGGUUCUACCCUCCCAGACCUAUUAUACCACACAGCUCGGAAAAUUUCUGGAGUACUUUUUUUUUUUUUCCAAUUCCUUGUGUUGCUGUAAAAUUUUCUGUUCCAAAUAAUUUGAUCAUUUGUUUUCUGCAGUGUAGUUUUAUGAUAAAAAUCCUAAACACUCAAUUACCACAGAAGAAAUUACUUUGCAUUUUCUAAAGUACUGUCAUGGAGUAUGUUGUCCUAAGCAUGGAAGAGGGCACAAGAUCUGCCUCUAGUUUUCAUCUUUCGGAUAAACCUAUGAUCUAAAUUAAACAUUUUGUGCAGAAUAAUGUUGUCAUUAUUGGUUAAGCCUUUUCCUUGUAUAGCAUAAAUUAGCAAGACUUUUAUAAGCACUAACAUUAUUUGAUUCACUUGAUCCCAUGUUGAGAAGAACGGUCUCCGGUUUGAAUCAUUCUUGGCACACGGUCUUGUAUUAAUGAAGAUCCCCAAUUAAUUAAAUCUUUAAAAAUAAAAAUACCUCUCAACUAUAUAACUGGCUUCAGUUUUAUCACCAAAACAAUCUUUGUAUCCAUUUUGCAUUCAAGAUUUCAAAAAAUCUCAAUUAAGAACUCUUUAUCUAUUUUUUAAAGCUUUCCAUUUAUAUUUCUAAGAAAAAAAUAAAUUUUACAAGUAAUUUAAUGUGGACAUCCAGUUAUUAUAACAGAAUUCCUUAAUCAAAAUAAAUUAGGGAUAAAAUUAAUAUAAAAAAUACUCUGGUAGUAAAAUUGAUAUUAUCUUAAUAGUUGGAUGUAUAUUGAGGUUUGCUCUAGAAUUAAUAUCCAUUUGGGUAUAAGAGAAAAAAAAUCCCAUUUUCAAAAUAUGGUUUUUUGUGUUUUUAUAUUGUUUAAUAAACUUUUGUUUUAAAAAAAACUUGAUAUAUUUUUAAAAAUAAUUAUCACCGUAUAAUUUGGUUGAGGCUAGUAGAGUUGAUCCAUUGUAUUUUUAAAAAUAAUUAUCACCAUAUAAUUUUUUAUUGAGGCUAGUAGAGUUGAUCCAUUGACAUAAAUGCAUGUUCUGACAAUUGCUGGCAAGUAAAAUGUAUUAUAAUUUCCUUGGCCAAUGAAGUCUCAAUUCCACCAACUCAUUUUUUAGCUACGAACUUCUUGUGCAUCUAGUCGUCGAGUCAUUAAUAAAAUGAACAGAUAAUUGCUAGAUCUUCCAUUUUCCUUUCGGCCCCUGUGAUGCCUUGGUUUGUUUUGCUAGUCAGAUAUAAAGAGGAGGUGCUCAAAUCAAAACCAAGUUUAUUAGACCAAGGUAGUCAAAACAUGGUGAUUGACGGCUGAAUUUAAUGAAUUCCCCAGCAGUCGCUCUCUGUGAUGGCUACCUAUUCGGCAUCAAACACCAAAGUCGAGCAAUGUAUUGUUUUUUUCUUUAUUAUUAUUAUUGUUGUUGAAUCAAGCAAUGCAUUGUUAAAUUAUCAGUCAUCCCUCCUCAUUCCUCAUGAUGUGCUGGAAAAUAAUUCCUUGAAACUUUGAUAAUGGGAAUAAUUAGGGUUUUCUUUUUUCUUUUUUCCUUUUUAGAUGGGUAUUUUUUGUUGGGCGGAGGAAACAUGUGGUUUGUUGUUUACAGGGAGAAAAGGUAAUGGUGGCAUUGAAGAGGUUUUGUUGGUGGGUAGCCUACAAUUUGCCUCCACAUUUAAGUGGGUUCAUAAUUCAGAAUUCUUAGGUUCUAGCUUUGAAGCCAUUUCUCAAGCUUGCAUCAUCUAGACAGGCACAAAUAACAAGCAAGGGUGUCCACUACAAAAAAUAAUAGCUGAAUAGGGUUGAAGUUAUAAUGUAUAAUCAAAUGGAGUAUGAUAGUAUUAUUUGUCAAUUGCCAUGUCUUUGUCUCUAAGGAGAUGUUGACAUAAAAGGACAUGAUGCGACUUCUGUUUCACAUUUUGGAUAUCAGGCUUUGUUGGGUGAUGCUAUUGGCUGAACUUUUUGGUUAAAGUGCUGCUAUUGAUUUCACUGUGGCUGUAGAAUAGUGUGAUUAUGUGUUGCUGGGAGUUAUUCUCCGGUUAUGAGCAGUAAAAUCCUCAAUUCUUCAGUAUUGGUGUGGGUAUUUUACUUCUGACUGAAUCACAGAGUGAUGUUCUUAAUCUUGGGUGCAUGAAAUAUUCCAAGAGGUUUUAGUGUAAUGAAUGGAGUUCUCGUCUUCUGAAAUCAAAAGGGUUUCAGACUAAACGCAUCUUUGGACACUAGUCGCAUUUUCAAAUUCUUUCUUCAGAGCCAUUUUUCCAUUAACCAGCAAUGGCCUUUCUAAGGCAAAAUAUUUGGCUCCAGUAAUCAGCCAUAGUGGGUCGAGCUUUCAUAGCACCAAGAAAAAGUAUCUGCGCUCGAUGAAGUUUACUCUUCAUCUGCUCCCGCUCCCAUCUCACCUCGUAACAUUAUUUGUCGAUGUUUCUAAUGAUCAAUGGUCUCUUGACCACGUGAGGUGCCCUUCGCAGUGAGAUUUGGAACUAUCAUCCUUUGGCUAGAGAAUUAUAAGGUGAUGCCAAGAGAAUUCAAGUUUACCAGUGCUUAAGCCUUUUGUAACUAAGUCUGCAACUUGCUUAUUUGUCUUGAUCUAACCUCAUCUCAAUUUCCUGUUGCAAUACUUUUUCUUCGAUAAAAUGAUAAUGCACUUCCACGUGUUUUUUCCUAGAAUGAAACACUGGGUUUUGUGCCUAAUAAACUAUUAAUUGAUUAUCACAUUACAACAUUAUUGCAUAAUCUACUUGUUGAUGCAAAUCAUUUAAUAAUUGUAUCAAUCAAGUAUUUUCUUGAGCUGUCAUUGUUACUGCUCGAUAUUUUAUCUAUGUUGUUGAUAAAAAUAUUAUUGGUUGUCUCUUACUAAAAGAAAUUAUUCAUGGCUCAAUCUUAAACACAUAACCAGUUAUAGAUCAUCGAGUGUCAUGAAAUAAUUAGCAUCAUAGUAACCAUCUAACUUGCAUUCUACACCUUUCUUGUAUAGAAUGCCAUAACAAACUGUAUUAUUCACAUAUCUCAAUAUUCUUCUAACCACUUGCAAAUGAGACUUCUUUGGAUUUUGCAUGUAACGACUUAUUACACCAACUGCAUACGAAAUAUCAAGUCUAGUCAAGGUUAAGUAGAUCAAGCUACCUACCAAUUUUCGAUACAUUGUUGCUUCAUUUAUGUCUUUUCCUCCAUGGGCACACAUCUUGAUGUUCAUUUCCAUUAGUGUUAGAAAUGGCUUGUAAUCAAGCAUUCCAAAUCUUUGUAACAAAUUUCUUGAAUAUUUUUAUUGACAAACAAAUAUUUCUCAUUGUGUAUGGUCAGCCUCUAACCCAAGAAAAUUCUUGAGUUCUCCAAGUUCUUUCACCUGAAAAUAAAUUUACAAGUUCUCAUUUGUUUGUGGAAUUUCUAACUCAUCAUCACUGGUUAUAAUCAAAUCAUUCACAUAGACUAAUAUAAUAGUUAUCUUUCCUCCAUUGACUUUCACAAAUACGUUGGAAUCUGUAGGUGUUAAUGGAUAUCCUUCUUAAAUAAAGAAUUUGGCAAUCUUGCCAUACAAAGCUCUUGGUUUUUGUUUUAAUCCGCAAAGUGUCUUUUUUCAAUUUACAUACAUGUUUAGGAUGAUCUUUACUUUGAAAACACACUAGAUGAUUCAUGUAAAUUUCUCGAUCAAACUUUCCAUAAAGAAAUGCAUUUUUCGCAUCCAUUUGUCAUAGUCUCUAGUUCUUGUUUGCUAUAAGUGCAAGUAGAACACGUACAGUUGUGAGCUUUACUACUAGACUAAAUAUUUCAUCAUAGUCCAAUCCAAAUUGUUGUAAGAACCCGUGAGUCACCAAACAAGCUUUAUACCUUUUAAUUGAUCCAUUUGCUCCAGGUUUAAUCUUGUAAACCUAUUUAUAGGAAAUAGGUUUCACAUCUACUAGUUUAGGCAUAGUAUCCCUGGUUUGAUUUUUCUUUGACGCAUUAACCUCUUCUUUCAUAUCUUUAAUCCAUUUAAAUCUUUGUGAUGCUUCUUCAAGCAUUUUAGGUUUUUUUUCACUUGCUUCUUCAACUAUGGUUGCAUUGGCAUACUUAGAGUUUGGCUUACGAACUCUAAUUGACCUUCUGAGAUGUGAUUGUGGAGCUGAUACUUCUAUUAUACUAGGUCCACCAUCUAUUUGUUGUUGAUAAACAACAAUUUGCCAAUUAUUCUGAUUAAUUUUUUGCUCCUCGAUUGCAUUAUUGUAUAUUGUUUCAGGUUUUUCUUAACUUGAUUGGACCUAUAUAGAUUGUCCAUCAUUUUAUUGUUAUAGCCUUUCUUCAUACUCUUUGGAAUUUGAAAUCACCUCUUUUUUCAAAUACCACCAGGAUGAUGUUUCAUCAAACACUAUAUCUUGUUAUGUGUAGCACCUUCCUAUCAUAGGAUCACAACAUUUUCAUCUCUUUUUUUUUUGUUGUCAUAUCCCGCUAAUAUGCAUUUAACAACUUUCUUGUCAAAUUUGUUGUAUAGUUGGUCAGGGACAAAUACAUAACAAAAACAACCAAAUACUCGAAAGAAGCCAACUGUACGCUUUGUAUUCUAUAGUUUCUCAUUGGGUGGUAUAAACUCUAACUUCUUUUGAGGGAGUCUGUUGAUAACAUAAGCAGCAAUUCUCAACACUUCAGUCUAAAAUUUUUCUGGUACAUUCUUUGCAUGUAACAUAUUUCGAUAAAUUUCUGCAAGAUAUCAAUUUUCUCUUAACCACUCUAUUUUGUUAUGGUGUAUUGGCACAAGUAUAUUGGUGACAUAUCUGAACUUGUGAGUACUAAGAAAACUCAUUUGAACUAUAUUAUCCUUUAUUAUCAAUGAGCAAGCAACGAAUCGUUCUUCAUACUUCCCCUUCAACUAACUUUUUAAACUUUUUAAAUGUAUUUGAUUUUUCUUUCAUAAAAAAACCCACAUAAACCUUGAAAAAUCAUCAAUAAAUGUCACAACCAAAUUAGUAAUUUUUAGUUUUUAGAUGUGAAAAACCACAACUUUUUUUGUACUCUAUUAGAUGCUAUAACUUUUAUUUAUCAUCUAUAAUGUGAUUAGAACACUUAAAGUCAAUGAUCCAAUCACUUUCAUAAUUGAUUUAAUCUUCAAUUUUAACAUUUUUCAUUAUCAAUGUUAAUUCCUCCUCUUUUAUGACAAAGGAUGCUCCAACAUCCCAUUCAUCUUCAACUUAUAUUUUUAAACUUGAAAUAGCAGUAUUGCUUUCUGUAGGCGUUUUAAACCAACAAUCUUUCUUCAUGUGACCACUCUUUCUAUAAUUAUGAUAUUUUCCUUUGAACUUUCUACUGUUGUUGUAAUUUUUUGAAGCUCACCCUUAACAAAAGCCUUUUUUUCUUUGAUAAUUCUUUUUUUUUUAUCACCAUCCUUAUUAGAUUCAUCAUCAAUGGGCCAACUAUGGAUUAUGUCCUUGCGAUUAUGCUAUUGUUUACUCCUGUCAUUGCUAGUGUGGAGUGAUUCCUCCCAACCCUUCAAUAAGACUUAUGUAAUCUAUUUAACCAUAUUUUCUUAACCAAUAAGUAGGUUCUCAAACUAAAUUAGUGAUGGUUGAGUAGGCCAUCUUUGUAAUACAAUAACAAACUCUGGCAUUCGGUCUUAAAUCAUGGAUGACUAUUCUUUUCAUCCUAGUUUCUCCAUUAGUUGCAUAGGUUCUAAUUUAGAAAUCUCAUGACAUGUUGAUUUCAUCUUAUUAAAUAAUUGAGGAAUCGUUGUCUUAUUGUGUCAUCAAUAAAAACUCAUUCUCGAGAAGUUACAAUCCUGUAUCAUUUUUCUUUGAGAAAAGACUAGAAAGGGUAUCUCAUGCUUCUUUUGGCAUUGAAACAUCCUGAAUGUGCUCAAACACAUCUUCUUCGAUUGUUGUCUUCAAUGCAAACAUUGCUUUGUCAUCUUUAAUCUUUCACUUGCGCGGAAUUUUAUUAGUGUCUUCGGCUGGUUGUGUGUCUUCACUGACAUGGACUACCUUUCAUAGAUCUUGGUCUUACAUGUAAGAUAUCAUGCAUGGUGACCAUGCACUGUAAUCUUGAUUGUUAAGCUUCUUAAUCCCUCCAACAAUUUGGAUAUCUCCCAUGCUAUUGCAAGAACAGUUUAAACUACUACUGAACCUGAGAUUGGUUGCAAACUGCCAGUGCUACUCAAUCAACUUGGAAGCUGUUAUUCAAGCUGCUUCUGGCGCGAGGAACGUGGCUGCUGGUGCUGGAGGAGUUUUUGCGACUAUUUUGUUGCUGCAAAGUCUGCAAGCUUGUUGCUACGUCUGCUUGCUAAUGCUAGAGAAGUCUAAUCGCUGCUGCUGCUACAAGCUACUGCCACGAAUGAGGAGGUUGUUGCGUCUGGUGCAAGCUGCUACUACAUCUGGUGUAAACUGUUCUUGUGUAUGCGUUUUUUCGUUUUUGUUCCUCAACUAUGAUUACUCCUCUCCUUUUCAGCCUAGGUAGAUUUUACUUAAAAAAGACAAAACAGCAGCUACGUUUUUUCUCUUGCUCUUGUUCUUAUUUUCUGAAUGUUCAAGGUGGUUUUAAAUAGCCUUACAAAUCCUAUUAAGCUAAGACUUCUAUCUUUUAUCUAGAAACUAAUCAACUAUCUCCUAACUAUAAUAAAACUCUAAUAAAUCAUUGAUCUUGAUGUUGCAGAAUUCUAACAAUAUCAGAACAUCCUAUGAACCAUAAACUCCUAAGCUAAUGUUGAACUCUAACAUAUUUGCCCCAUCAAGUAGAAGGUGAAGGAUGAAGUUAACAUCCAUUAUAAUUAUAAAAAAUGAUCAACUAUAACCAUUUCAGAAUAUACAAGACAUAAUUUUUGCUCUUCCUUUCCCCUGAAUUCUAUCUAUAAUACAGUGAAUCGAGACCAUUAUUUCUCGUGUUGACUAUUUCUGCUAUUAUCUAAUUCCAAAACUUGUUUUUGUUUUCUUUUUUUUAAGGAAAAAAAAAACAUCCGGUUCCUAUAUAAGUAAGCUACACAAUUUCCUUUGGUGAAAGAUUAUCGUCUUCGUUCCAUUUUUCCUGCACUGAGACCAUCUUUGGUCCUUUAAGCUAAAAUCAUGUUGUCUGGAGCGUAGACCAAAUCAAACCAUCUCCAAGAUUUUGAUAUUCCCAGUAGAAUUUGCAGCAACCAAAGUAGAUGACUGGCCACGCCAACAGACAGAAGAAAUAAAUUGUGCAGCGUCAUCCAUUUCAUGGCCAGAAAGCGGGUCCGUGUUGUUAAACUUGAAGGACAGCACUGGCAUAGGGAAAGCCUUGUGAUAGACAAAAACCUAUUCCACAAAAAAAACAUUAAACUUAAUGAUGAAUGAAACUUGCAUUGUACUAUAAUGUGCGCUGUAGAAGUCACUUCACUAGCAUAGUUGCUUGAGUUUUGAUGGGUGUUAAGAGUUGGGCAAUAAAAAAAAAAAAAAAGGCUAUUGUGUUGUUAAUACAAUAUCAUGAUGCGAGUGAAAAGAGUAUGGCUAUUGUGUUGUUUAACAACUUAAUUAUGACUUCCAUUCAACUCAGCUCCAUUCCUCCCCUUAUACACUGAUAUAAGCUUGUUGAACAAAGUAAGGUAAAGGGGAUAGAAGUUUUGAGUCUUGUGUCACCCAAAAGUCAAUACAACCAAUGCAAUUCGUGUUACAUGGAUUAAACUCUGGGGCUCGAGGGAAAAGAUCAUGUGCUGCCAAAAAGAGCGCAGGUAAAGUGUUGGGAUAUGUCUUGAACUAGCUCACUAGUUACUAGGCCCCUUUUCCUUUUUGCCCACUUGGUUUGCUAUGUAUAUUAAUUCUAGAACUAAAAGGGUUGGGGUUUAGAAAAAAUCAAGUUGAGUUUCUUAUAAGGAAUGGGUGUAUCGGGGCCAGGGUUUGAUAAGCACAAUCCAAUUUCAUAGUGAAGCUUGACCUCAAUUUAAAACGAACCGUAUAAAGUUUAUUGUGUUCUUGUUUCCUCCUUUUCUUUCCUUUACUUCUUGCAUAAAAAGUCCAUCAAAUUCAGUCAUAUAUCUUGUUUCCUAAACAUUAGAGGUCAGAAAACUAAACUGAAGAAGAAACAGAUGCUACAGUCUUUUGCCGUGUACAAGAGAAAGUAGCUUGUAGUGCUGUAAUAUGAAGAAAAGGUAUGAAAAGGUGAGAGAGUAGCUUGUAUUGCUGUAAUAUGAGGAUAUUUGGUUUAUGAAAUUGUUUCCUAUUAUGGAUGCUGGUUAUGUUUCUGUGUCCAUUAAGGUAGGUCUUCUUAAUUUUCAGUCAACUUUUCCAAGGCGGCGAAUCUAAUGAGUUAACCUAGUUAGAUGUACGGAUAGCUCCACACAGUUAUCCAAAAAGCAACUGAACAUUUGACGAGGAAAAGUUGAUUUUCUAAAGAAGUUCCUAAGUUCUUAUGCAGCUCAUGUAACAAGGCUUGUCAAACAAGAAGAGAGAGGCCACGAGUUCUUGGAUGGUUAUGCCAUCAUAAUAAAAGUCAGGGGAUACAGUUAAGUUUGUUUUGCCACUGAAAAGAAACCAUAAUUUUAUCCAUUGAGGAAAGGCGAGGUACCUCUAAAUACUAAAGUAAGAUAUAUAGUACCUCAUUUGUUUCCGAGCCAGUUGCAAUGUAACCAUCUGAUACAGACAAACCCACGAAGUUCUACAACAUAAGCAUACAUAGACAAAAGAUGUCAAGCAUGGACAAUUUUCCACCACCAAUAAAAUACACUUAUCACUGUGAAUAGUACAUCUAACAUAUAAUAAACUAUGAAAUUGAAGCAACUUAACAUCAAAUUUAUAUGCAUGGUGAAGUACCUAAGCCAGAAAAAAAAAGCCUUAAUGUUUCCUUUGUUAGUUCAUUAUUUUAGUAGGCAUUUCAAUUUCUAAUAUUUAACAUGAUGACCAGUCAUAAUAAUUAUGAGCACCCAAUCCCUAACUUCAAUGAGCAUAAUAAACAGACUAUUCUAGAACUUUGUAUUCAAAUAUAAAUCCAUGAGAAUACUACUAUCAGAGCUUUCAGCGUAGCUGAUAGAACCCAACAAAUUUCACAGUAGAUCAACACGAAGAAACAUGAAGAUACAGUAGUAUAUUAACUUGCAAUAAUGAAUUUCAGUCACCUCAUCUGCUGCCAGUAACCCCCAUUUGCAAUGUUUAGCAGCCCUAGUUCUGCCAACUAUAUAAUUAGCAUCAUGAAGAUCAAUUGUGCAAUUUUUUAUUAAAACUUUCAGAGGGUCAUAUGCAUUCUCCAAAACAUACUUAAUAAAUCUUAAGCUAACUUUCCAACCAAGCGAAACAUGUUUUGAAAGAAAAUCAACUUCGAAGGCACAGGCUUUCAUGACUAGCAAAACCAUAAUGUUUUCUUUGUUGCAAAUCCUGAUUCUAGUGCAACUUUUAACUAACAACAACUGUGACAGACCAGGAAAAUUAACAGCUAAUCGAAAUGAGACCAAUUCUCAUCCAAUAUCCCUCACAAAAAAGGUCAAAAAUAGUACACAGAUGCUAAUUAUUGUAUGAGAACUGAACAUACCUUUACAUUCAUGUGGCCUGUGAAGGAUUGAAGGGGGUUAUCAAUAACCCUAGACGUGCCCAUUGACAAAUCCCAGAGCUUCAGUGUGUUAUCCGUGGAAGCAGAAACAAUAUUGGUUGUAUCUACAAACUUCACAUAACUCACAGUUUUAUUGUGUCCAAUCAAUGUACACAGAGGAACUUUUGAGUUACGGAGAUCAUAGUAAUAAAUUCUAUGAUCUGCUGAACCAAAUGCAAUAGAACGACUAGAAUCCAUGGGAAACUGAACAGAGCAGACAUUGGCUUUUGUUUUGAUGGAACCAAUACUUACUCCCUGCAUAAGAAAAUCAAGUAUGAGGAUCAGCUUAUUAUAUGUCCAGAAUUAAAUUAGCACAUUAAGAAAUUCUAUAACAUUAGCACGUUCAGUUUCAAAGCUGACAUCCACCAAAUGCAAAAUUAGCAUUGCCUGAUUGAUACUCCAUAGCUUGACUGAACCAUCAUCACUCCCACUAGCCAGCAUUGUUGGAUCUGCUGAUGAAAAGUCAAUGGACCACACACGCCUCUCAUGCUCUCUCAUUUCUGUUACCACUUGACUCCUUGUAACAUCCCAUACCUGAACAUGUUGAGCAAUUGAUUUACAAUCGAGUGAAAUAAAGACAAAAGCCUCAUCAAAUAUUAGGUUUGAGCCAUUACCUGCACCACACCCUCAAAGUUACUUGAAGCAAUUUGGCUUGUAAUAUAUCUGUUCCAACAUAUGCUGCUUAGCUUUGACCUACUUACCAUUUCAACAACAGGAUAGUGGAUAUCACGAGCUUCAUUUAUAAUUGUGUCACAUUCAAAUACUUUUAUCUUUUUAUUUACACCAGCUGUAGCGAAAAAUUCUCCAUCACGGUCAAAACUAAGAGAGCAGACUAGGUUUGAAGAGUUCAACAAAUCCCCUUGCUUCAGGUCAGCCUUCACUUUUAACUUACUAUAAGAUAGAUACUUGCACAAACCCUCCAGGAAUGGACUUAUCCAUCCACUUUGUCUACCCUUAAUAAACCGAUCCUUCAGUGCUAAACUAUUUAUGGAGCUUCUUUCAGUCACAACAAUGGAACCUCUCCCAUCACCACUUACUGGUGAAUUUCUAACAAAUGGUGGUUUCCCUGGUGGCCUGACUGGUCUGGAUCUUGUCAAAAAAUAUGCUGACUCUAAUUUCUUAAAGUUCUUCAUCAAUCGAGAACUUCUAAAAAGAGGACUUUCCUGUGAUUCUACAAAUGUAUCUGAGUUCCGACCUUCAUUGAGAUUAUCAUCACAUCCCUCUGUGUUGAGAAUCUGAAGACCUGAGCAAAAUCGUUUUCGGGAACCCAAGCUAGAAGAAUCGUCAAUAUCAUAAAUGUUCAGGGGAGGGAGAUUUGAUGCUAAAUGAUCACCCUCUCCUCUUUCUUUACAUGUGCUUCCCUUUUUCUUAAGAAAAGUUUGAUGCUUUGUGACUUCUUCAAUAUCAGAACAUAGAAGAGAAACAGUACCUUGCAACUUAUUAGCUGCAUCCUGCUUUCUUUGUUGCAUUGGUAAAAGGAAUUCCAGCAACAAUUCCUGCUCCUCUAUUCUCUCUCUAAGCUGUAUUGCUGCUUCACGCUCUUCCAAAUAGUCUCUUGGUUCAUUAAGAAACUCGCUUUGCAGCAAUUCUCUGUCAUACAAUACAUGAGAGUAAGACAAUGAAAAUUUGAUUGAACAGAAAUCAGAUGAAAUGUCAAUCAAAAAAGGUACUUUGCUCAGGGUGCAGUAACCAUAAGCACACAAUGUACUUGUUUGAAGACCUCGAAAAAACUCAUCCACAUAUUAAGGCAGAUGCUACCAUAAAAUGUAAAGUAAACAAAGGUGCAGGAAAUUAACAUUCACCCCAUUUUUGGCCGACUACUUGGCUCAGGGUGCAGUAACCAUAAGCAAAAUGAAGCUUCUUUUGGCCACUUGAGCAGCAAUUGAGGAGGAAGAACCCGAUGUCUGAGACUAGACAUAGUUCUGCUCUUGUCUUCCCUUGAAGUGAAUGGGCUGAACAGCUGUUCACAAGUAGAACUAUAUCACAUCAAUGUAGACAGUAAACAGCAGAAGCUCUUAAGACAUUAUUGCAGGCCAUUUAGAUAAUGAAGAACUUUCUGCUUGAAAUAGAAGUCAAAAGUUCAAAACACAUAUAAGAAAUGGUUUUGAAUCCACUCUAAUUUUGAUCGUUAACAUCAUAAAUGCAACAUUAUCAUUACGAACCUCGAAAAGAAGAACUCCCAAUUGGUAGAUGUCUGAAGCACAAGAGCUUGGUGAACCAGCAACCUCUUCAGGGCUGGUAUACCAACUGGACUCCAUCAGCAAUAUUUGCUUCAUUGGAAAUGGUUGUUUCCUUUCUUCUUCAUGUUCAACGUUCCUCGUACCAAGGACUUUAUUUUCUUCUGUUUCUUCCCCUAAUGGUAAAUCUGCUGCAUAAAGCGAGCUGGACUGCAUGCAACUGGCUUCCGAUAAAGCAUUUGUUGGAGUAGAUGCAGGUAGAAAAUCUUCACUUUGUAACCUACUUCUCUGCUGGCACAUGUCAUGGGAGAAAGAAGAAGCAUUUUUAACCUCCACAGUUUGUCUAUUCAAUCCAUCAUCCAAAGAAUCAGACCCAGAAUCCGAGUAAGAAGCGGACUCGAUGAAGGAGACAUGGUUAAAUGAUGACAUGACAAAGCAAGAAGGCCGGACAUUGUGAACAACAAUUCCCUGUGAAUGUGCCACAUUUACAAUUUCGACUAUUUGCCUAAAUAUGUGCAAACAUUCAAAUUCAUCAACAGACCGUUCUGGUUUGUUCAACCAAUGCCUCAAGCUAACAUCGUUCCACUCCAUGUUUUGGACAAAAUGGUCAACUGCAGCUUCAUCCUCACAAACCCCAGAUAAAGUACCAGCCUGGUUUUUUAGGUUUUGACGAGCCAGAACAACCCUAUCAGUCUCCUUUCUAAACCCAGAGUUGUAAGAUGCGGAUCUUAGAUUCCUGUUGGUGACUACUGAAGUAUUAAAUCCCCUAUAACUACCAGACUUCUGCCAAGCAGACUCAGAUGAGCCCUCCAUGGUUACCCCCCUUGGGCUGCAUGUAAGCCAGAACAAACGCAUCCAAGAAAUGGAGGAAUUCGCCUGCUACUACCACAUUCGCUAACUUCCACCAUUACCAUCUUCAAUCAAUACCUUAUUUCACAGAAAUAGCAAAAAGAACCUUGCUUCUGAUCAAGCCAAAGCUCAAUAACUCAGCUCCUCGAAUAAAAAUACUAACCCUUGCAGGGCAGCGGACACUAGAAAAUAAGAUGAAAUCUUUUAGCAAGCACACUUCUCCUGAGACAACCGCAACCAGCCUAACAUCAAUAAACCAAUAAGAAAAUUUAAAAAAAGUAGAGAAAAAUCAACACUUACAUUAUACCACACACAUUUUUCCUUUCCUUUCUUCAUCCACCGGAAUUAUAAAACUAAGUCCUCACACGUGCACUGUUCAACACCAAAACAACACAAGCACCAGCACAAAAAAAAAAAUCAAAGACAAGUACAAUAAUAUCCAGAAAAGGAGAGAAACUGAAGAUACCCUUUUUACAAUAUAGAAUUAGAAACACGUACCCAGAGGUUUCAUCAAAAAAACAACACAUGCAUCAGAACCAACAAAAGCCCACACACAAUAAUAUUAUAUACAGCCAUUUAAAAGAAGAGCUAGAGAGAAGGAGGGAGGGAUAAGUACCUGUAGCAGCACCAAGAAUGGAUAUUUCUGAUCCUGCUAGACCAAAAGAGAACCACACAACACAACAAGACUUUAGUUACUACACUCCACUAAACACUACAGCCUCAUAAAUUCCCUCAUUUUUCCCUCACAACUUCAAAAAUAAAAUCAAACAAAACCCCUCCACAAAAGAAAAAAUCAACAUGUUUCAAAUAAAAAAAGGAAAAAAAUACCUCUCUCUCUCUCUCUCUCUCUCAUGCUCUGUUUCACUCUAUAUAUUAUAUAGUUCUUCAUGAAAUUAUUAUGAUAUUCUUUCUUUUUUAAGCCACAAGCUCAUGGUUCGCUCUUUGGCUCAUCUCCCCGCUUUAUUCCAUUUGAGUUACGUGGCACCACCAUAGCCUCAACCUUGUUUGUUUAUUUCUUUGCAAAGAAGCCAAAAGGGAUGGUAAAUUUGAAAACUUUGUGGGCCAUCAGUGCCAAAAAAAAAAAAAAACUGUUCUUGAUGAAAAUAAAGAUCUUGGCUUUCUAGAAUUGGAAACUCAAGGUGAGAACAUGAAAAGCAAAUAAGAGCAUGCCUUACAGGUGUGAAUCAUUAAACUAAUCUGAUGAUGUGAUUCUUGUUAGAACAGCACGUAAGAAACAAUUAAGAAUACUAUAGUGGGCAGUUCUUGUUUCUUUAAUCCGAUUAGUGACACUAAAAAUAAUAUUUUACAAGAAACACUCACAUGAUAAAAAAGAAGCUAAUAAACUAUUGAUUAAUGUAAUGAAGCACAAACAAUGAAGCUAAAAAAAACAAAUAAUGGUGAUAAAAUCAACCUUAAAAUGUGGGUUUGAGUUUUGUGGGGCCCGGGCAUAAAAGUAUACAAGGAAGGAAGGGAAGAGGAUAAUAAUAAUAAUAAUUAAGGAUUGAUAAGAGAGGAUGUGGACUAGUGUCAGGUAGGACUAAUUAUUUUUGGUUUGGUUCGGUUUUUAUCUAUAAAAAUCAAUCAAAUCAUAAAAAAAUAGACCUGGAAUCAAACCGAAACCGGCCCAAACCGACCGGUUUCGAUUUGAUUUUUGCUAGCCAAAACCAAAAAACCUAUGUUAUUUUUUGGCUUUGUAAUGAGCUUCGUAAUUGGUUUUUAACGGAUUUCUGAUGGGCUUGCAAUUAAUGUUGAUAUUGUCUAAUUUUCAUUGAAGAUUCAAAAGCAUAUUUAAUUUUUUUACCACUAAAUAUUAAUUUGUAUUAAAUUGUUAUUGUCAAUCUUAUGUAUAUUGAGUUUUUUUACCACUGAAUAUUCAUUUAUAUGAAAUUAUUAAUGUCAAUCUUGUGUUCAAUAUAUUUUUUACCUUCCUAAUAUUUUUAUGCUUCUGAAAAGUUUAAAUAACACACUCACAAUCACACACCAAUAAGUUAAAAUUCAAAUUACAAAUCAUUGCCUUUAAAGGGCUUAAAGAAAAAAUAACAAAUAAAACUAUCAUAAAACACUCCAAGCCAAAAAAAAAAAAAUCUUCAUUUGCACAUCGUCUCAAUAAAAAAAAACUUCAAGACCAUUGCAUUUUGAUUCCUGAAAUUCAUAAUCUAGAAUUAUAACAUGAUAAAUUAAAUUAGAAAAUAAAAAAAAUAAUAUUUUUACCAUAUGUUUUCAAUAAAUGCAUCACAAUUUGUGAACUAAUUAUCAUCCGUUGCUAGAUGUAACUUUCCAUCAAAUUCUACAAAAUAAAAAAUUAAACAUGUUAGAAUAAAAAUGUGUUAAUUAUUAAUAAAUCAUAAAACAAAAGAUGUAAGUUUUUAAAAAACAUUACCUGAUCCAAGGUUUUUGUAGGUUUCAAAAUCAUUCAUCAAGGUUGUAUUAUCAAUUGGAAUUGGACCAUGAUGCAACCAAUUUUGACAACAAAUAAGUGUUUGAACUGUUGCUAGAGAUAGAGAACUUCGAAAUUGGUUGAGUAUACGACCACCUGUGCUAAAGGCUGAUUUAGAAGCCACUAUGGAUAUAAAAAUAGCCAGAACAUGUUGUGCAACUUUUGAAAGUAUCUUAUAUUUUGAAGAAACAUUAAUCUUCCACUAACCUAAAAUAUCUAAUUUAUCAUUAUUAGGAUCCUCACAACCAUCAACCAAAUACGUCUCAACCUCAUUUCUAUUUUUCACACUAUCUUCCUCCUGUAAGUGCCUUUUGAAUCGAGGUAAAGUGUUAACAUCUACCUCCACAUCAUCAAUAGCAUCAUUAACAUCUUAUUUAUGCCUAUUAUCAUCCACCACUUCAUCAGCUUUCAAAUAAAACUCAUACAAGCUCACCAAAUUAUCUUUCAUUUUUUUUUGUUAGCAAUUGUGCUUUGUUAUAAUCAUACAACUCACCAAAAAAAAAUUUCACAUAUGUUAACUUAAGACGUGGAUCCAAAACAUUAGCCACAUACAAUAAAAAAUUUUGAUUUGCUUCACAACCCCAAUACUUCUCAAACUUACUCAUCAUGUUCAUCGUCAUUCCACUCAAAAGAUUAUCUCUACUUUUACAUAAUUGCAACAAGUUUGUAUGCAUGUAAAUCAAUUCAUUGAAGAAUGAAUUUGAUGUGACAUGCAAUGAGCCAGAAAAUUUCAAUGUAAUCAUGUAAAAGAUCUUUAAAAACUUCAGCAAAGUUCUAACAUUUUUCCAAUCCUCCAAACUAGGUGGUCCUAUGUUUUUUUUAUUCUCCUUUGAAUCAACCUCCAAAAAGUAACUCAUAUACAUAGGUUCACUUUGACCUAACCUCACAAACACCUUUUCAAACUUUUCAGCAGCUUCUAGCAUAAGAUAAGUUGAAUUCCAUCGAGUUGCAACAUCCAAAUACAAUGAUUUCUUACACUCUAUAUGCAACUUUUCUGCACACUUCUUAAAUGCAAGUAGCCUAGAAGAUAAAGAUCUCACAAACCUAAUUGCAUUUCGAAUCUUAACAACCAAAACAUCAAUCUCUUUCAAACCAUCACACACAAUGAGGUUUACAAUGUGUGCACAACAUCUAACAUGCAAAUGUUCAUUUGACAAUAUAUUAGUUAGCCAAUCUUUCAUCACAUUCUUUAAAUAUAAAAUAGUAACACUAUUAGAGCUUACAUUGUCUACUGUAACAGUUAAAAGUUUAUCAAUCCCCCAAUCUAACAAACAAUUCUCAAUAACUUGACCAAUUGUUUCACUCAUAUGAUUGGAAACUUGACAAAAAUUCAGAAUUUUUUUAUGCAAAUUCCACUCACUAUCAAUCCAAUGAGUCGUUAAGGACAUAUAGUUAAUGUUUUGGAUUGAUGUCCAUGUAUAUGUUGUUAAGCAUAAUCGUUGACCCUUAAGAGCUCUCUUUAAUCUUUCCUUCUCUUCAACAUAAAGUUUUAAAUAAUCUCUCAUAAUAGUGAAACGAGAAGGAAUGUCAAAUCUAGGCUGCAAGGUCCUAAAAAAUAAUCUAAAUCCCUUACCCUCAACAAAAUUAAAAGGCAACUCAUCAAUUAUAACCAUUUUUACUAGUGCAUGUCUACAUUUAUCAUAAUCAUAACCUAUUGCCUUAAGAGUUCCCACACUUCGAUCUCCUGAUUCACCCCCCGCUUUAUUAGGUUCUAAUACCAAAAGUUUUUGCUUCUUAUCAACCACAAAAGGAAACUUUUUGUAUACUUUUAAAUGACUCCGCAUAUUACUUGUCCCAUUAAUAAUAGUAUGACAUGCAUAACCCUUUUCACAAUAAUUACAUUCAGCUCUAGGGAUUGUAGGAUCACCAUCAAGUUUGGUAAAAUGAUAUGCUUGGCAAUCAGACUAUAGUUUACCUCACCCCCACUCCCAUCAAAAUUCAAAUGAGAAGCAUGUUAUUCUGCAUAUGAUCUGCUUGGAAAACCGUAAAUAGAAGUGUUACCCCUGUUCAGGGAGCUAUUGCUACAUCAUACAACAUGUUUACUAUUUGCUAAGGAGCUUCACCAUUUAAAAAAAAAACAGUAAAACCUAUAUCAUCCAUUCAUUUCAGAAGCAGUGGAAUGGUAAGUGAUAUUAUCACACUACAAACCAGAACUAGGGCAUAAAACCAACACAGAUAAACAUAAAAAGGAAAUCUCAAAACUGAUAAAAAAAAUACUAAAUGAAUAACAUAAAAAAAAGCUGACCAAAAACUGGUAGAUGAUAUGGAAAAUGGAAAUGCAAGUUUUAGCUGCUAGAUUUCUAUGUUAUACUUAUUUCAGGUUUUAACUUAUAAUCAUAGGUUCUUUAGACAGCAGGUACAAAUUGUCGAAAAAGGUGUUUGACUCAUUUUUUAUUUUCUAUCAAUUCUUAAAAUUUGUGUCCAAGCUAAUUGACAGCUUCUGUAGAGCUUAUUUGAGUUAUUUUUGUUUUCAUUUUUUGCAGAUUAUGUUUUAUGAAGCCUUGAAAGAUUUGGCAGGUUAUCUUAAAGACUUAAACAUCAUUUUUCUUGUGAUGAAACUAAUUUCGUUCACAGAAUCACAGUAAUAAUAGCCAUGAGGAGACACAACACUAAGCAGGCAUGAAUAAACAUUGAACAUAAAAAAAAACCAAUACUAAAUACGGAUGAUUAUACACUAUCAAUAAUUAAAUAGAAAUUCCUAACAAAUUAGUAAAGCAAUUUGAUAAUCAGUAAUUUCAACAAUUUUUUUUUUCUAACAAUAUUGAAUCAAAGAAGGUCAGUAAUCAGUAUCCAAAUUAACUUGAAUAAUCUAAAAAACACAUGAAUAAAUUCUGACAUAUAUGAAACAACAAGCAGAAUGCCUUCAACAGAAUCAGCACAACAACUGUAUCCUUAUUCUUUGACCUCUACAUUGAAAAAAAAAACAAAUACAAUAAAUUAAAUAGAUGAUAAACAGAUAAAUCUAGGCAAAAUAUGAGCAGCCAUUAGUUAAUUAAUUAAAACGGAAAAAACAAAAUUAAAACUCACUGCUAUAGAACUUAUUCGGUUUCGGAGUAAUGGAGAUUGUGGAGUACCAUGUGAUAUUGUGUAGAUGAAGAGGAACGUCAAUCUAUUUAUGAGAGGCUUGACUGGUUUCAAAUGAUGGAAACACAAACUAUUUUGGAUCUGUGUAACCGUGUUUCUAUUUUCUAAGUCUAAAGAGACUAAAAAGGGAGAGGCGAGAGGGUGCGGGUGCUCUGGUUAGGGUUAGUGGCCAGGGAGAGGGGAGACGGUGAGGGCGAGGGAGAGUGUUACUAUGUUAGGGAAUUAGGGUUAGCGGAGAGAGGCGAGAGUGGCAUCGUUUUCUAUUUAUAUCGUCAACACAAAACACUGGUUAGAGACCUUUUUUUGAACCGGUUCGGUUCGGUCCGGGUUAACCGAUUCCUGCAUUACAAAACCGAACCGAAUCGGGAUUUUUUCUAACUAUUCUAAUCGGUUUAAUCAGUUUUUUUUCUCGGUUCGGUUUUUUUUUGCUCGGUUUAUUCGAUUUUCUGUUUUUUUUGCACACCUCUAGUGUCAGGUAAUCUAAAAGGAUGUUCGGCGCAGUUUUUGUUUUUAAAUGUUUUUAAAAAAACAAUUUAUUCAAAAAAAUAUUAAAUUAAUAUUUUUUAAUGUAUUAAUAAAAAAAUAAAAAUAAAAAUAUUUUAAUAAAUUUUCAAAAUAAAAUUAUUUUAAAAAAUACAUUACAUACCCAUCUCAAUUUGAUGUAAAAUUAGGAGCAAGCGAUUUUUUUAUUUUUUUUUUCAAUGUAAAAUUAGGAGCAUGCGAUCCUUCCUCAUAACAAUUAACAGUGGUAAUGUUUGUGGUCCCUACAUCUGGCGGCUAUUAGCACGAUACUAACCAAGUACUCGAAUUCGCUGCUGGGAGGAUUCCAUUCCAAUAACAUGCAAACAUUAUGAAUGCAUUUUCUAGAAUAAUUAAAAAAACAAAUUAGAAAUUAAGAAGUUAAUAUAUGCGACGAAUCACUUUUUUAUCGGUAUAUUUUUAUUAAAAAAUUUCGGAUAAAAAAUAAUUACAAAUAUAAUUUUUUAGGAAAACAAAGCUUGGCAUAAAUAAAUUCAGGAAAAAAGUUAUCAAUGUGAAAAUAAAAUUAAGAAGAAAAGUUAUAAUUAUAAUUGUUAAUAUAAAUUCAUUUUUUUUCUAUUAAUGCAUUUUUAAAAAAAUAUUUUUUUUUUGUUAUAUAUAUAUUGUUUAUUGCAUACAAACUGCAAGCAAUUAAAUUCAAUAUUUAAAAAAUAUUAAUGAUUUAAAAAAAUAUAUUAAAAAAAAUCUUUUUAAUAUUGCAUGGAAAGUGAAAGCAAUUAAAUUCAAUAUUUAAAAAAAAAUAUUUUAAUCAAAAUCUCUUUCCAUUAAAAGAUUUAAUGAUUUAAAAAAAAGACUUCUUUUUUACAAAUUUUUUUUAUAAGAAGUAAUGUUUUUUAAAUAAGAACUUAUUAUAAUCUUAAUAAUAAGUGUUAAUAAAAAAUAAUAAAUUUAUAAUUUUGACAUGAAUGUAUUAAAAAAUAAUAAUAAUAAUAAUAAUAAUAACAAACUUGAAAACAUAUAUAAAACAAAUAGAUAUUUCAUUUAUAUUUAGAAAAUCAUGCACAUUAAAUUUAUAUAUAAUUAUUCUGAGAUAAAUUAUUAAUAUUAUAAUAUAAUAUACUAAUAUUAUUUGAAAAUAAUGAUAUAAUUGGAUUAUUAUUUAAACAUCAUUUAAAUAAAUUUAUUUUAAAAUAAUCUAAUUAUAAAAUGCUAAAAGAGAUAAAAAAAAUACAAGGCUAAGCAAGCACGGGCUAGAAGAAUAAGCCUACAUGUUCGGCCUACAUGAAAACCUAUAGGUUCUGGGGUCUAGAAACUCAAGUUCGCAUGUCUGAUUUUUCUAAAAAAAAACACGAUGUUCACUUUUAUUUUUAAAAAAUUAGACAAAAAAUAUGUUUUUUGACAGUCAAAUUACACAUUAUUUGUCUACUAUUUUUUCUAGUCAUAAAAAAUGUCUUCGUGAUUGAAAAAUUAGGAUUCAAAAACUUGAACCCCAAAAACCUAGAAUCCAACCAUUUUCCAUCCAAAAAUAUAAAGAAAAAAAAACAUUUAAUGAACCUCCAUUACCUCGAUUUUAAUAAUAAAAUAUAUUUUAAUUAGUUUAAAAAUUCUAAAUUAAAUCAAAUUAAAAAAAAAAAACUCAUGCACUGAAAAUGGCCACGCUUCUUAGGGUUUGGACUAGGAUUUGAGACUCAUGGUUUCUUGUUGGUCCACUUUGAGUAUGAGUUCUCAUAUUUUGUAGCUUCCCUUCCCUUGAACAUUCAUUCUUGGUAAAACAUGUCAUGAAUUUAUAUAAUAAAAACAAUUUUUAUUUUUUAUUUUAUUUUUUAUCUGUCACGUAACUAAGUUUCAUCCUCUUUCUCGUCUCGUCCGUUCACCAAACGCCUCCAUGGUUAUUUCCAUGAUCAAUAAUCCAUUGUCUUUUAAACAACCAUUAAUUUUAUUUGUGGUGGGCAGUUACUGCUAAACAUUCAGUGAACUUGAAAUGUGUUUUCAAGUUUAAGUUUAUUUAGGCCGUCUCUGGACCACUGGUCCACCUUCCUAAAUAUAGACCAAAUUAACAUGAUGUGAAGAACAGAUCCCAUUGUGAACAUGAUAAUCAAAUCCACUUUGAAGGUCCCCCUCAAAGUUUUGUGAUUUUCGAUAAGAUUCCCAGUAGAUGCACAGAAACCCAGAAACCCACAUACAUUUCAUCAAGAAAUACCUUAGAAAGGUCUAGAGGAACAUUAAUCAGUGGCCUCACUGUGUGUGUGUGUGAAGGAGCCAUGGUUACGCUCAACUCUUGGAAAGACCAAUUAGUCUUGCUUCGAUCGUUCUUUGCAUAAGACCAAUAUCCGGCUUCCUUGGCAACCAAAGAAGAGAGUGCGCGUUCAUGACAUGUUUAUCAUUAAUAUCAUUGAAUUCUUGAACGUCGAAUUCAAUGCCUAAAACAUGGUUGUUGGGGGUAACCAUCAUUGGUGCUGUUCAAGAAACCAAGAUGCCGUUGUCAAGAGGCACCUUCAAUACCUAGAGAAGGCACGAGAAUGAAUGCAAAACCAUGACCAGGGGGGGAAUUGUUGUAAGGGGUGAUGGAGAAGGUGAAAGAGGACGAGAAUGACAGGAGCUUUGAGGAGUUCGGGUAUCUUAUGGGAAUCCUUGUAGAGGCCUCUACCACCAGAAAAUGUGAUGUCUCCGGUGAGGGAAAGCGUGCCAGAUUGUAGCUCUGCAGUGCCAUAAAGUAACAAGCUCGAAGAGCUGAAACUGUAACUCGACUGCUAUUGUAAAUUGGAGAAAGGAGUUAUUUAAGAAGAAUAGUAGCACAUGGUGGAGCCCGAAGCUUCAAGAACUGGGUUCGUUACUGUCAAGUGCCAUCCAUCACCGGUCUUGUAAUUGCAACUUAGUGCAUGCACCUCCUUGUUUUGGAAGGAUAAUAACGCACUCAGCAGAUACUCUACAUCUUGGGUAUGGUGGAUGCAACAUUUGUCUUUCCACACCGUGGAAUAAUUUCACAUCAUCCAGAUACUCUACAUCUUAUGGCUAAUACAAAUGCUCUCCAAGAAUGGUCAAUAAUUUUGAGAUUGCAGUGAUAGUGGAAAGUAAAUACAUGUGAUAAAUUGCAGAGGGGAGAUUUAUCAGUGAGCUAUAAUCUUGUAGCUAAAAUGGCCACUAGCUAUCUUUCUAAGAACAUAUACAAAAACCCCAACCAACGGUUUUUAACUCAUAUUUCACAUAAGGAAACCACCAAUCAAAUUACUCUUAAGAGUCCCAGCAAUACUUCUCAUGUGGGGCUUACCUCAUCGACCUGAAACAAAUAAUGAAUUGGCUGAUAUUUGGUAGCUUUCAGCCUGGACUUUUCUAACCCUUGCCUUGUCAAAGCGUGCUCGUCUAACAGCUUCUUGGAUCUGGCGAUCAUGAUCCUUCAGCAUCUGAUCCAUGUUCCCCGAUGGAACUAUCAAUGGACCAGAAUAGUGGAUUUUGUGAGCCUUUGACCCAUAGCCAAGCUGGAUCCAAAUUAACAAGAACCAUGAAUCAGGAAACACACAAAAAAAAGGCUCCUCAGAAUUCAGGAAACAUGAAAUUGUAAAUCAAUCAACUUAGAAAAGACGGUUUAUAAACAACUUGCAUGAUAUGAUGCAGACCAGGACAAAGCAGCCAAGUGGUUAAAAAAUUCACUGAAAGGUUAAGCAAAAAAGCAAAAAAAAAUAAACAAACAACGAAAUAAAAGAAAACUGAAUUGUGAAGUGACUUACAAGGACAGGAUCUUUACUGUUAUUUCUCCCAUCUUCCUUUUGGUGGGAACCUGCAACACCCUGUGACAGACGCUGUGGAUCCUGUUGGGCAAAGGAUUCUGAGGUUUCCUUGAAGGAUCCUGGAAACCGUGCCAUUAGUUUUGGAACUUCCGGUUGUGAUAGGCCAGACCUUUCUCUGUGAUCUUCAGAUAAUAAACUCCUCCGCGCCGCCUCUAAGCUUGAAAUUGUUGACAGGUCAGCCCCCGUGUAAAUCUUAGGAGCAUCAUCGGGGUUUCUGCCAGCCUUUGCCCAUCCAGAACGGUGAGACAGUGGCCCAGAAUGUGAGGCUCUCUUAUGCUGAUGACCCUGAGGAUCCAUGUUUGAUUCUGCAGCUUGUGAUGGUCUAGGGGGAUCAAUUGGAAAGCCAGAAGCAACUUCCUCAGGAUGGGGAUUAAACUUCUCACUCCGGCUCUUGGAAUUUGGACGACCAUGUCUUUUCUGUAAUUAGAGCGCAAUCCAUUGAUAUAAAUUUCAUUAGUAAAAUCAAAUUUAAUCAAAUGGAGUGCCAAAAAAUAAAGGGAGUCAACAGUAAAAGAGAUAAUUCAUGAAAAUAGAACAGCAAGAAACAAUCAAUUGUUUAGGUAAUAAUGCUUAAAAGAGGGCUGGAGCAGCUCAAAAGGACAGUAGUCAGAUGUAGUUUGAUAAAAAAAAAAAGUAUGACUUGCUGCUUUCAAGGCAUAAGGAAGAUGGAGAGUGCGAGAGAGAGGACAAAAGAAAGAAACUAGAUAAGAUUUCUUGUGUCUCACAAAGUGCCUUUUGUACAAAGCUGUUUUCUGUAGUGGAGAAUUGCAAUUUCCAUGUGAUCAGAAUGGCAAGAUGGCACAUUACUUUAUACUUCAUUGUUCUGAGAAGAGUGCAAUAAGAAGUGUUCUAAGACUUCGUGUUAUGACUGGCUUGUUUACUAGUUUCAUCUAUAACAGAGCUAGCUUUAAAAAUAACUUCCUUUCUCUUCUGACCAAUCUUUCAACUCAGCAAUUCUCUGAACCUCACCACAUGGCCCAGCAAGCCUACAUACCCAUCUCCUAAUCACAAUACUUCCCCAACCGCACACACACACAUGCAAAAAAGUGUCCUGAGAGAGCUAAGGUUAUCUUAAAGAAAUCACCUGCAUUGAUAAAACUAGCUCAGCAUUGGCAUCAGGUGCUGGAACAGCUCGAGAUUCUCUUUGCCCUCUUCUUUCCAUGUCAGGUUUCUGGCCCUUGCUUCCUGCUGCUCCUUGUCUGUUUGUGUGAACAAAAAAUGGGAUUGUUAGCAAACUACACUACAUUUACAAGUCAAGGAUUCCAUCAGUGAUAGAAGCACGAAGGAUAGUUUAGUGGAUCAGUAAGAAACACACAAUAAGCAAUAUGAGCAAGGGCACUAAGGCAACUGUCACAACCAAAAUACAAAAUUAUGUAAACAGACACUGCAUUCAUCUGAUUCAAAUUGAUUCCUACUUCAACUAUUUUUUCUCUUUUCUCAACUAGUGCACGCAACUUCUAUAUUUUAACAAUGCCAUUAACUGCGGCCAACAUGCCAAAAACGAAAUCUUUUAAAGCUUUUUUUCCGGGCCUUUGCCAGAAGCCUUCCAACAAAAGAUUAAAUGAACAAUAAAUUGGAGAAAAACUUUUUUUCUGUUCUUUUACAAUGUUUACCUUCUAGCUUCUUCAUCUCGCAUUUUUGCAUCAAACUCUUUGCUAGGAGGAUAAUCAGGCAAACUUGAAGGAUCACAAGGAAGCGGCUUGGUCGUAAAGAACUUUAAACAAAACUAAACAAGUCAAAUACAAAUUAACAGAAAGCAAGAGAGAGAAUUGUAAAAUAGAACUAUAAAUACUAGAGCCAACCUCAGCCAGCCAUGAAGAUUAUACUCAUCUUAUGAUUUAUUUAUUUGUCUAAAAAGAAAAGGUUAAAUGAACACUUGCUACCAACUGCUUUGGACCAAUAUGUUACAUUAAAUGGAUGGUAUUUCUCCAAAAUUAUGUUAAGAUUACAAAAAAAAUAGCUGUGCUGCAUAAGAAGCUAUAAUAUCAAAUAAGGAACUCAAAAAUAAAAAUAUACGAUCAGUUACCAGAGCUACAUCAAAAAGGUUGACAAAUUGCAUGGUGAAAAGAAAACACAAAAAGAACAUACACACUCUUGUACAAGAUGCAGUUUUUUUUUCAAAGAACAUGUUACAUAGAAGGAAGCAUAGGGAAAUGAAGGACGGUUCUCUUUUAAUUGAUCACAGAAAAAAGAAGACAUACACAAAAAGAAGAAAUAACAUAUAUAAGAAAACAUACACAGAAAGAAAACAUCACAGAAAAAAUAAAUAUAUAAGAUCAGUUAACUGAGCUACGUCAAAAAGGUUGACAAAUAGCAAGGUGAAAAGAAAACACAAAAAGAACAUGCACACUCUUGUAUAAGAUGCAAUUUUUUUUUUCAAAGAGCAUGUUACAUAGAAGGAAGCAUAGGGAAAUGAAGGACAGUUCUCUUUUAAUUGAUCACAGAAAAAAGAAAACACUCAUCAACCACCAACUAAAAUUCAAAACUGUUCAUGGUUGUCGAAAAUUCACAAACUAAAUGUGAUACACCAAAAUAUACAAAGUGCAUAAAAGAGUGAAAUUGUAGGAGUCUUCGAGUGAGAUCAAGGGACAGAAAAUAAAUCCUAAAAGCAACACAGCAUUUGGCGACAGAUUAUUGAUGAAAACUCAACCCCGUAUAGUUGCAGGCUAGCAGUGACAAAAUGUGAUUAACAGAAACACAAUCACCAUUGAGAAAACUGGGCUUGGGUGCUUUUGUGAAGAAACAAAGUGGAAUGAAUCAAAGGAGCAGCCACAAAAGUUUGGUAAAGUUGAUUAGUUGUGGAAAAAUACAAUGAAGCAUAAUAGAGAGAUCUGAAACCUAAUAUAUGCAACGAGAUGGCUAAAGACCUGUCACAAUCUAAACCCCUUAUGAUACAACUUCAGAGUGGUGUGAAUUGCCUGCUAUUGUGUCUUUGCUGAUGGCACCAGGUGAACUUGAAUGUUUAACAGGAUUUACCUCCGUCCAAUUACAUAAACACAAACUCUUCCAGUGACUUUUAGAUUGCAACAACAUGGUAUCACAUGAGUUGGAAGGAAAACAGACUUCAGUCUCAAAAUGUAUUUCAGUGACAAUAAUAACAAAAAUCCUAGACAAAAUUAUUAGAAAGAUCGAAUUAAAAAUGAAAGAAAUGUUAAUGAGUGAUUUACUUAUUAGGUAAAAAGAAUUGAAAUAUAUGCACUAUCAUGUGUAGCAAUAUAGAUCUUCUAAUUGAAGCCAAUAUGUAUCUCUGAAUCAAAAAAUACCAAGAAGACCAUAAACCACUUUCCAAUGUAACACCAAAUCCCCCCACCCCCAAAGGGACAAAAAACACUCACAAAAAGGGAAGGGGAAUUUGAGAUACAUAGUUCAUGGAUACCUCAUACCUCACUCCUCAGAGCAGAAGCUGCAGAUCCACGAUCUACAGGAUCAAUGGCGAGCAGGGUCUCCAUAAGAGCUAAAGCUGGUGCUGGGAAUUCCUUAAAUGUUUCUGCAACACAGCGUCUAUAAGGCUGCUGAGGCUUAAAGAUAGUCGCAUGAGGCAACUUUGAUUUUCUCCAAUAAUCUUCAGAAGGUGAGCCACACAGCUUGAAAAUUUUAUGCAGCUGCUCCACCUACAAGGCAGAGGCAUGCAAACUAAUCAUCAACAUUUUAAGUAGCUGCACUAAUGUUUUUUAUGACACUUACAUAGAUUAUAAGAAAGCAGAAAAGGGAUACGGCAUCUUGUGAUAAUUAUUCUCUCUUUCAAUCUUUUCUUUUUGAUAAAUCCUUUUUCUUUUUCAUAUUAUAAGAAUUUUGCAAAAGGAUAAAGAAAUUCAGACAUAUCAGACUCUGUUAGGUCUUUGCUUGAGGUCUCUUUUUAAAUAAACUUUUACAAUAGCUUGCAACACUGCUAAAACAUAUUCUUACUCGAGUUCCCUUAUUUUUACCUUUGACCAAAUUUAUAGAAAAAAUAAGGCACCCUCCAAGGUUAAAGUAAACAUCAAGACACGGUUACCUAUGAUCAACACCCAUGAUUUGUCAAAGGUGAGAACUCAUAAGGUAUUAUCACCUAGUGUUUGUGUUAAGUGUUAUAGUAGUAGAAAGUGCAUGACUAUGUUUCUUGCAUUGCCCAACAGCUUGGAAUGUGGAGUUGAGUUUCUAAAUGCUGAAAAGAAUUAGGCACUUCUGCGUAGGGUGGAGAAGAUGUUAAUGAUCCAUUUAGUGGGUUUUUUGCUGACAGGAUGUAAUUCGACAAUCUUCAAAGCAAUAACUAUCUAGAAGUUAGCACGGGAUAAAAUUUGUAUCUGGCAAUAAUUAGUUCAACAUUGUACUUGGAAUGAUGGCCCAUGAAAAAUAAUCUGCAUUGCAGUAUAUUAUAACAUGAAAUAGCAAGCAUCUAAGAGAAACACUCUGUUUGGUGGAGAACCCUAAAAGACAUUUUUUUUUCUCGAGAAUAGAAAAGGAGAGCACCUCAGUUCUCCCUGGCAUAAUAGGCUUGCCAGCAUACAAUUCCGCAAGUAUGCAACCUGUACUCCAUAAAUCAACAGCUAUCCCAUAGUAGGUAGCUCCAAGUAGAAGCUCUGGAGGACGGUACCAAAGAGUCACUACUCGGCUUGUCAGUGGCUGAACCUGGGCAGGAUCAUAAAAACUUGCUAGUCCAAAGUCUGCAAUUUUCAAGAUACCAUUGUUGUCAAUUAAUAGGUUGGAACCCUUUAUAUCACGGUGUAGAACACCACGGCUGUGACAGUGAUCAAGUCCUCGUAAAAGUUGUUGCAUGUAACAUUUCACCUGCCAGCAUAUACAUAUUAGACCACAACAUCCAAAGCAUACAAGCAUGAGUCAAAUAUCAAACCUGUUCUACCUUUUAAGAUUGACAAUUUACACAUGGAUGAUCUUGGAGGAUAAGGAGCAUGUAAAACUAGCAGAUGUUAACAAUAAAAUACGUAUGAAUUUCAUAGUUAGCAGCUGAUAGCCUGUCACGGCAAAAUGCAAACACCCAUUGAAUUAGAAUCUAUUAGAACCAAACUGCCAAAAUUACCUGGGCUUCUGUAAAAUUCAGACCAGGGUGUGAGGCAAGCCCAGCCAAAUCAUGCUCCAUGUACUCAAACACAAGGUACAAGCUGCAUGACAUCCUUGAUGUAACUAGGCCUUCUAACUUUAUUACAUUAGGAUGGUCAAGCCUGCGCAAGAUGUGAAUUUCCCUGGCCAUGAAGCGAACACUCUCAGGUUCCAGGUUAUCAAACCUUACUUUCUUCAAAGCAACAAUCUUCUUCUGAUCAAGGUCACGAGCCCUAUAAACAUUACUGUAGGUUCCCUGGCCAAUCUGCAUUAUAAUAGAAAUCAUCAGAUGAGGGAACCAAAUCCCAAAAGCAGGUCAUUUCAGUUCAAAGAGGACAGCAGCAGAUAAAAAUAACAGGGCAAACCAUUCUACAAGAACUUGUGGGACCUGAAUAGAAUGAUCUGCUGUUGUCAACUACUCAAAAAUUAUACACAAAAAAGUGCAAAUAGAAGUCCAUGAUAUCCAAACAAGAAAUGCUCAACAGCAAACCUGGCCCCUUGGCCCUAGCUUAAAGAGUAAGAAAAUAGUAAAAUACAAUGGUCAGGGACACAGGAUACAGAUUUGCACAUUCAGACCAGCCUAUUCAUGCAAAUCGCUUCAUCCUUCAAGACUAGAAGUUUGAAAAAAUUCAGCCAAAUUAACCAAAACGGAAUACCAAAAGCAGGGAGCAGGAAAUUCCAGCUACUGAAGUUGUUAACAAGCAUCCAUUUCUUGAAUUAUGCGGUAAAAUUAACAAUACAUGUUCAACUAAAAGUUAUAAGCUAUCUGUCCAUAUAAUAGCAGCUCCCUCACACAUCUUUAAAUGCUAUUGUAAAAUUUAAGUUUUUUUCUUUAGGUGAGAGGGGCAAGACAUGAACUCGAGAUCCUGCCGCCUCUCCCCUGAUUCUUGUGGAUUAGAGCUUUUGGGCUAAACUAUCUCAACAAAAUUGAAAAAGACCUGUUACAAACAAUGUUGAUACAUAGCACUCAUCUUCAUGGACCCAACUACAAUUCAGAUAUCACAUACACACAAUGCAAGUUGAAGAUUAUACCACACUUUUAAUAUUCUGCACUUUGUUUACUGUUCUUCCCCCACCAUAUUUGUUUCAAAGUUCCCUCCUUCCUCAGCACACUAACGCUAAUUGACUGGCAGCUUAUCAAAAUUGGAUUCAUUUUAGACCCAUUGUAUCUAUUUUGAUGGAUAAUUAUCUAAAUGUUAUGGGUAUUCCACUAACUAUAAUAAAAAGGGCACAUUAUCAAAGAAUGGUGCUUCUCGAAUAUUCCCCAAUACUAAAUAGCUCUUAAAUUCUCUUAAUAGCCUCUUACAUUUUCUCAAAGCUCUUGGACUCGAACAUGGAUACUUCCUAUUUUCUGAUAUGGUAAUCUCUCUAACCAAAUAAAAAGGUCUAACUACAAGAAAAUCAUUCAAACCUUUAAAGCAUCACUAAUUCCUACACUGUGAUUGCAGAAACAUGGAUCUUUCUCUGGUGUAAUCAGUAUAAGCCAUUCAAAUUCAAACUCUUUCAUAUCCAUACUGUCUCAAGCCUCUCAAAACUCUAUGCUUCUCAAGCCUCCAGGCUCUGACAAGUAAACUGAACUUCUAGCUAACAUUUAUUUAGAAGUUAUCAGGUUCAAAGAAUCCGUCAUUACUCUUAGCAUGUAAAAAUGAGUUAUGCAGAGCUCUUAUGCAUGUUAUAAAUGAGCCUUCCUAAAUGUAUUUUUCACCACCUUGCUUAUUUAUAAAUAUAAAUAUAACAAGCAUACAUACAACACAAAUCUCAAGGAAAAGUCACUUAAUAGCACCAAAAAAAAGUUCCAUAAUUUUGCUAACUGAAUUCAAGCUAAAGCUAUAAAAUUUGACAACACACCAUAUCCAAUGCGUGCACAAAUGAAAAUGCUAAAAAAUGUAACAGUCCAAAAAGGUUCUAAUUCUAAUUAGCAAUCGUCACUUUGUUCAUUGCAUUAUGAACCAAUCGAGGUGUCAUAAGCAUGUUCUUCAACCAUUAAGUUUGAAUUGCUAAAUUUUGAAAAUCAUAAACAGAAUCUUGCUUGCAAUGGAGCAGAGCUUACAAUAACACAUGUCAACGUUGAGCUUAGAGAUUUUUUAUGAAGUUACUUUAAAAGUGGAAAAAACGAUCAUCAGUAAUUGCAGGACGUGUUCUAAACAAAAGCACAUGUCAACGUUGAGCUUAGAGAUUUUUUAUAAAGUUACUUUACAAAAUGGAAAAAGGGAUCAUCAGUAAUUGCAGGACGGGUUCUAAUGAUUAAAAAUGAGAUAUAACAACAAAAACAAAACGAAAAAAAGGGCAUACCUUGUCCAGCUUCUCAAAUGAAUCCGCACGCCGUGGCAACCAACCUUUGAUUGCCUCUCCAGCCACAGCAGCUAGCCAGGAAGGCCACCCAGCUGCAACCUGCUCCCCUUCAGUGGCUUUCGGUAUGCUGCCCAUACCUGGGUGGUGAAGAACUGCAUACUCUGACUUGUCCCUCUUCCUAUCAACAUGCUCAACCCCAUGCACUCUAAGAGACCCAUUCACUUGCUUGUCAAUCAACAUUGUCCUACCAUCAUUACUAUCAUAUUGAUCUUUCGCUCUAUAUGCUUCCUCUCUCCUUGAAGAGGUAGCCCUUGAUACCCUCAAGUCAGACGAGGGCUUACUUGAAAGUCUCUCUCUUGGGCUCUCCUUGCUAUCCUCAAUUGCAGAGGGUUUACAACACAUGCAACCCAUUAUGUACCUAAACCACCUCCAAAAACACCCUUCUCCUUUAGAAUCAAUAAUUACCCUUCAAAAAUCUCAUCUUUACACUUCUAUCCUCUUCUUCCAUUCCCAUUUUCACACAACCAAACUAUACUUCAUCGAAAAUAAGCAAUUAAACUAUGUAUCUCAAAAUCAAUCACCGGAAGAGCAUAAGCAAUUCCCACUCAAGAUUGAAACUUUAAAAUAACCGAACACUAGAACCACACAAUUUUGCACAAUAACUUAACUGUGACUCAAUGACUGCUCUUUUACUGUGAAACUUCCAUUUCCUUAUCAAACCCACCGACUCCUAAUCCAAAAAAGGAAACCAAUUUCCUCAACCUACAACGCUAAAAAUGAAAAAACUAACAACAACCACCACCUUUACUCCAACAACAAAUUAAGAAUCACAACCUGAAAACUAAAUACCUUUAAAAUGUCAUGCCUAAUCUUUUCAGCUAUCGAAUCAGGUGAUUGAAAACCCUCCACCAAACUCACAAUUCCACUACAAAACAAACCCUAAAAACCCAAUAAAAAAAUAUAGAACCCAAAUUACCAAAACAAACAAACAAAAUCUAAAGAAAGUAAAGAACUGGAAACACUUCAAUAUAAAGCAUGCACCUUGAAAAUGGAAACCAAAAUGGUAAUAAACAAUAUUGUGAAAUGAGAAUUGAAGGACCUCCUAGAGAUGGAGAGAUCUAGGGAAAGAGAGAGAGAGAGUGGAGUAGUGUAGAGAAGAUGACAAGAAAAUGAAAAAUGAGAAUAAAUAUGUAAUACAAUAAAUAAAUAAAUAAAUGUGAAAGUUAUUACUAUAUAUUAAUAUUAUUAAAUUAAUUAAUUAAUGAGAUGGCGCGUAAGAACAGACAGGCUUUUAGAGAAGACUGAGAACUGAAGAGUGAGUGAAGACCCCAAUGCGUAAAGACAUUCUUGGUUUGUGUCUUCUUCUAUCCCCACGCGCUCUGUUUAUAUUGACACGUGUAUAUUUUUUCUUUGCCUUCGUUUUUUUUUAAACAAAACAUUAUUUAUCAUUUGAUGAAUAAUCUCUCUUUAGAUUUUUUACUGCCAGUUUAUACCUGACUGAAUAAAGUAAAAAAAAAAACUAAAUAGAAUAAUUUAACAAAAAAAUAUUAAAACCUAUUUCAUUAAUUUAUUUAACUUGUAGUUUAACCGAAUAAAAACUGAAUGUUACUGUAUUAUUUUCAAUAAAAAAAAACUUGUGUAUAUCAUAAAAUUUUCUCAACUUUAUAUAAUAUUAUGAUAAUACAUAAUUAUAUAAUAUAUGUGUCAAAUAUUAAUGUUGUUUUAUGAAUUAAACCCUAGUCAAUAUUCAUAAUAAAAACAUAUCUUAUAAUGGUAUUGUAGCUUCACAGGAUCCGUUUUCAUCUAUGGUAAAAUUUCUGUGUUUCAUUUUUUACCAUGCUUUAUUAAAAGAAAAACUAAAAAACGUGAGAGUUUCAAUGUAACUCUAUAUAUAAAUUAUUGUAAAUUAUUAUAGUAAAAUUAUUCUUUUACCUUUAAAUAGAAAAAACUUAAGUCCUGAAGUUGGGGUUUUUUCCACUUACCUAUUAGUUAUUGAAAAUUUUUUUGGGGAUAUAUGUGUUUUUUCUAAUUUUUUAUACAGUAAAAUACUUUUUUUAUUAAGAGUCAACAAUAUUUAUAAAUAUUGACCAAGGGCUUUCUUGAUUUUUCUCAAAUUUUUUAACAGCAAAAAUAUUUUUUUGCCCCCGAUAUCAAAAAUUUAUGGAGUUGUUGGGCAAAGGUGUUUAUGGUUUUUUCAUGAUCUAUAUACAGAAAGCAUAUUUUUAACCUUAUAAAAGACCAAAAAAAAAUAAGUUUUUCCUUUAAGGGUGUUUUAAUAUUUUCAUAUGAGUAUUCUGUGUAAUUAACAUGUUCAUGAGGGUGUUUUGGUAUUUUUCACAUUUUCUUUUCAAUUUUUUAUUCUAAGAUCUGUUGAAUGCGUGUUCCAAACAUGCUGAAGAGUGGAUGGCGUUCGUGUCAUUCAGGUGAUGAUGAUGGUGAUAAUUGUGGUAGUGAUAUUUAUAAUGAUGAUGAUGUCAUCGUCGUCGUCAUCAUAAUAAUAAUAACAAUUUCAUACUCACAUUUUUUCAUACUCACAUUUUAUUCAAAAAAUAAUAAUAAUAAUUUAUUAUGAUAGUUGUAGUGAUUAUGAUAUCAAUAACUAUGGUGAUGAUGGUAAUAAUAUUAAGAAUUAUUAUAAUAAUGAUAUUGAUGGUGGUGAUAUUAUAAUUAUAAUAGUAAUAAUAAUAAUGAUAAGAAUAAAAAUAAUAGUAAUAUUAAUUGUGAUGGUGGUGAUAAUAAUUAUAAAAAUAGUAUUAACAAUAAUAAUAAUAAUAAUAAUAAUAAUAAUAAUAAUAAUAACAACAACGAUAAUAAUAACAAUAAUAAUGGUAACAAUAAUAAUGAUAGUAAUCACGAUAAUAAUACUAAUAAUAACGAUAAUGAUAUUACUUAUUGAUAAUAGUAGUGAUGAUGACAGCUGUAAUGUUAGUGAUAGAAGUAUUGAUGAUGAUAAUAACGAUAGAAUACUAAUGGUGAUAAUUCAUCAUUCGAUGUUAGAUUUGUUAGGAAUUGAGUUUCACCACUUUUCCAUGUAUGGAAUUUCCGGUCUAAUAUUCUGGGUUACUAGUUUGAAAAGUGUAAUUGGAAACUCGUUUUAGGAAAAGAUCCAAGAUAAGAGAUUUCAAGAUUCAUCUUAUUGUCCGGGUUUAUAGCAUUGCAAAAAAAUCUUUGUGCUCUUGAUAAUUUUUUUCUACAUUUUUUAAAACAUGGUUUGGCUCGUGGUGGAGCGCAAAAAAAUGAACGAGUACACUUUCUAUGUAUUGUUGUUUAUCGUUGUUUAGAGAGCACUUUUUUUAUCUAUUGUUAUUGAAUUAUUUUUAAAUUAAAAUUAAAAUUAAAAAUAAUAUGGAUCAAACACCUUUAUUCAAACUUACUAAAUUUAUGUAACGAUCACUUUCUUUAUUUUAUCAAAAUUUCUAAAAACCAACAAAUCUUGAUAUUUAGAAAUUUUCCUAAACAAAUAUAUACCAAAUGUAUUUGUGAUUUGAGUAUUUUUUUUAAACAUAGAAAUUGACGAAGUCAUGAAAUCUUCAUAUUGGAUUAUGCUUUCCACGGGUUGUGAUUUUAGGCUAGAGAAGUGACCGAUUUCACCACUAAUCAAUAAGAUUUUCCUACAAAACAAUCUCAUGUUGGAACAAGAGGUCUUCUAAAAAUUAAUUUAAUAAAAAACAUGAGGGAAAUAAUAUACAUGAAAGUAAAGAAUGUAGGAGAGUGUAUUUGUGAAUGUUGGAUUGGGUGCAUUGUGUAAACUUGUUGAAUAGUUGUUCGUGAUUUCUAAAAUUGUUGUCUGGUUGCUUGUGUGUUUCUGGAAGUGUUGGGUGGUUGCUCAUGGUUAUUGGAAGUGUUGGCUGAUUUCUUGUGAUUACUAGAUCGAGACCCAAAUAAUUUUUCAAGGUCGAGCCAGCCAAAAUAAACUGAAAAGCAAUUUGUUUGGGUUGUGGCCUAAAGGGAUUGAAGGUAGUCAUUUUGGUUUGCUGGCCUAAACAUGUUAUUUAAUUAUUAUUAUUUUAAAUUUUAACAAAUUUAUCGUGCCAUCAUAUGUCCCCCAAGUCUUUAAAAAACAUGUUUGGAAGACUUUACCGAAAAAAAGUAGGGGAUAUAAAAUACUUAUUGUUUUUAUACUGGUGAUGUUACUUGCUUUUGUUAAUGUACAUACAUGAGAGUUCUCUUAAUUGUUUUUCAUCAUUUCUGUGAAGAGAAGAGAAUUUAGUCAAUUUUAUGUGUUCUUCCUAGAAUAGAGAACAUUAUUACUUAAAAGUGGAGAAUAUUUCAUGUGAAAACAACUUUAAAGUAUUAUAAUAUUGGAGAAGUGGAGAUUUCAUUAGAGAUCUCAAGUUGAGAUCUUUAUUGGAGACAUUAGAAACACAUUUAGAGACAUAGAAACUUCGCUUGGAGAUGUGGAGAUUUCAAUAAAGAUAUGAAGAUCUCAUCAUGAAGAUUUUUUAUUGAAGACAUGAAGAUAUGUUUUGGAGACACGAAGAUCUUACUUUGGAGAUUUUUAUUAAAGACAUGGAGAAAUAUUACUACUUUUAUUCAAAAGUUAAUGGAGAUAUAAUUUCUAAAAAUUAUUUGAUCUUGGACAGUCCAUCAUAUGAAUUUUUUUCAGUUUGUUCAGAUUCUUUUUUUUUUCUUCAUAAAUUAUUAGAGGUAUCCUUUAAAGAUCAAUUUUCCCUCUUCUUUUUCAAGGUAUGACAUUCCUCAAUGUCGUGAUCAUGGUCAUGGUAAAAGUGACAGGAUUUAUUAGGGUUCUUUGUAUUUGCGCUGCUUUUCUUAGGGCCAGGUAUCAUUUCCUUGAUUGGUAGCCAACACUUUAGUAUAUGUAGUGAUAAAAGGUGUGUUCAGGAGCUCGAAGAAUGUUAGGCGAUCAAGAAAUGAUCUCUCAGUGCUCUUUUUCGAUGCCCUGGUAGGAGAUCGAUAACAUUACAGAGAUUUUGCUCUCUCUAAAAACGAUGAUGUCCCUAUUUGGCAACAUUGGCUUCUUAAACGAUAAUAAGAAUAGACAUAAACAUUAAAUUGAUUGAAUAAAAUAAAGGAAAAAAAUAUUAUGCUAGGUUGCACAUAUUAGAAAUAUUAUCUAAAAAUAAAAAAACUUAUUUUAAAAAAUAAAAUUCAUCUAUACAAAAGAUAAAAAAAAAAUUAUAGAUAAAUAAGAAAAACCUCGUAAAAAAUUAAAUGCAUAACAAAAAAAAUCAUCAAUUAAAAGAGGCUCUUUAAACAAAAUAAAAGAAAGAAGAGGUAUUAAUCUAAAUAUAAAUAUUUAAAAAUGUAUAAAAAGAAGCAUUAAUUAAAAAAAAAAAAAGGUCAGGUGCAGUAGCUAACCUGUCUAGCCUUUUUGUUGGGGCUCGCGCGACUAGGCCCUUAUUUGUUUUCGCAUUUAGGGUGGUGUCGCCCCAAAUGUUUUUGAAAAAAUAAAUCAGACGACACGUCGUUUGUUUUUGCCCAGAUUCCAACCAUUGCAGUGACCAAAAAAUCAAGGCUUAGGGUUUUUUACCCAGAAACACAUUUUUCAACAUAUUUUUGACCAAAAACACCUAUAAAACACCUUAAAAACCGUAACAAACCUAUUUAUAGCCUAAAAAACCAAAAAACCAUCUCAAAAAUCAAAAUCAACCCGAGCUCAUAUAUGUUUUUUCAUGAAUUUUAAAGGUAAAAAAAUCUAGUAUGAACUCCCCUCAUCAAAUAGAAUUAUUUGACACAAAUAUCGACCGUUUUAGUGGUCUAAAUUGGUAUUAACGGCAUCUCUCUCUCUACCGCUAGAAUCCAGCGACCUCUCUCUCUCAUCUCUCAACCAGAGACUAAAAGUAACAAAAAUAAAUUUUUAUACCGAAAUUGAAUUGAAAAAAUAUUAAGACACCAAAAUUGUAUAAUUUGUUUUAUUUUUAAAGUGCGAUGACCAAAGUAUAUCUAGAUCUACGGUGUUUUAUUUGUGUAUAAAUAGUGUCGGCUCUACAGCUAAAAUCACAUGCCUUUUUAGAUUUUUACUUCAAUUAGUUUUCUUUCUCCAAUUUGAAGGAUAGUAGAUAGGCAUUUUAUUUGUGUAUGAAUCCAAAAAAUAAAUACUCUAGUUUUGUUAACGAAUCACAUCAUGUGCUAGGACACGGCAACAAUUGCAGGGAAAACUUGAUAAUAAAGGAUGGAUUGAUUUGCUGGAUUUUCUUUUCCUUUUGCCUUUUUAGCAUUCUUUCUAUAACUUGAUAAUAAAUAUCGUUAGGUGGGUGAAUUGGAUGGAAACUCUUGCCCCUCAUUUGAAGGCCCCACUCAAAAUAAUCAUGAUCCUAAUCUUAGUAAGUUGAAUAAUCAUGUGGCUGUUCAAUGAUUGAUUUUUUUUGGGUAAUGCUGAUUUUAAUAUCAUUUUCAUCUAUCAAUUUGAUUAGGUGGGUCCUUGUCGCUGACAUUUUUCUUUGGAUGAUUGGAGACUUUUUUGACCUUCAUCCAUGUAUGUAUGGGUUUUAACCAGCAGUGAGAAAAAUAGUUGACAUUUUUCUGCUUUUGACAUUAAAAAUAUAAAGUUAAAAGGUUUUGGAAUACACUAUUUUUAUAUAUCCACUAACAUUGUGGAUAAUAAUAGUAAUUUAUAGUAUUGGUUUUUUUUUUUAGCAUUUUGACCUUUUUUUCCUUUUAAGUAUUGGUUUUUUUUUUUAAAUUUAUUCCUCAUAUGAUAUGUUUAUAGAGAUUUAGAGUAAAUAAUUUAUUUUAAUUUGUUUUUUAUAUAGUUAUCACAAUACUAAAAAAAUAUCAUAGCAUCGAGUUGGUAUCGGAAAAAAAUUUCAGUAUUACAGUAUGAUCUAUUUUUAAAAAAGUUUAGUGAAACAAAAAAUAAUUUAGAAAAAAAAACUAAGUUAUUAAACUUUGUGGAGUCAAUGACCCUGUUUCCGAGUUUGGCGAGAUAAUCCUGAUUGCCUCGGUUCGCGGGUUUUGUUGGGUACUUUUUUUUUCUAAUUGAACUUGAUUAUAUGAUCAUAUAUAUUUUUUUAUCAUAUAAUUAAAAAAUAGUUUAAAAAAAACAUGUUACUAUAUUUUAGAAAGUCCAUGGGCCUAUUGACGAGUUUAACUUUUCUGUUUUUCUUUUUUAAAAAAAAUUAUUUUUUUUAUUUCAUCCUUUGAUGUUAGGUUGAUUGAGAAUUGAGUUUCAUAAUUUAUUUCGUUUUGCUUUUUAAGAGGUUAUUAUAUUCUUAAAAAAAAAGUCUUAGAAUUGGUUUGAUGCUUAAUUUUGCGAUCAUCUAUUUUUGUUAUCAUAUAGUUAAAUAAACAAUAAUUUAUAUAAAAAAACAAGUUAUUAAUCCCAAUGGAGUCCAUUAUCAGGUUUGCGAGUUUGAAAUGUUGACCCGGGUUACCCGAUUCACGAGUUUAGCCAUCAAGCCUGAUAUUUUUUUUUUUAGAUUUUGGUCCUUUAAUUUUUCUAAUUGUCUUUUUUUUUUAUUUCACUCUUCUUUAAUAUUGGAUUGUUUGGGAAAUGAAAUUCAUGGUUUAUUUUUUUCUACUUUUUAUAAGGUUAUCACGAUCUCAAAUAAAAUGUCUUUUUUAUGGUUACUGCUCAAUUUUUCAAGUAUCUAAUGUUAUCAUAAAAUUAAAUAAAAAUAAUUUAUAAAAACAACAAAUUUAAUAAACUCAUUGAACUUCAUGACCUAGGUUACAAGAUGACCGAGGUCGAUCUCAUCUGGUAUCAUCUCAAUAUUAAAAAAAAAUUAUUGUCUUAAAGUUUUUUUAAAAGAUAUGUCAUGUUUUUAUUGGUCAUCUAAGUUGUAUUUAGACCCAUUAAAUUGAAUGAUUCACUUUGGAUCAACUCUUACGCGAUUUAAUUCAAAACUCGAGUAAGGAAAAGAGUCGAGUUGGCAGGUUUCAAGAUCAAACCGCUUGAUUGGAUUUAAUGAUACUACAAAAAAAUAUCACCAUACUCUUAACAUUUUUUUAUGUUUAGAAAAAGAAUAGUCUGACUCACAGUGAAAUGCAAGCAAAUGUAUUAAAACAAGAAUGUGUGACAUAAGCUCGUAUAUUUACAUUGCUCAUAGUUAGAUUAUUGGGGAAUUACAAAAUUGUCAAGAAGAGUGAUAAAUUGAUAGUUGGAGGCAAGGUUGUCAAAAACGCAUUUUUGACACGACAUGAAAAAUACAAAAUAAACUCGGAUCGUAAAAACGGAUCGUAAAAUCGUAAGGAAUUUUUUCAAGAGAAGCCUAUUGUCCCAAAUUCAAAGAAGAUGAUACAAAUAAAACAAUGUUCUGGAAAGGAAUAAACAUUACCAGCAAUGCUUUCAUAAUCACAAAGACACCAUAACACCAUCCCACGCAAAUUCAAAGAAAAUCAAUACAAACAAAACAAUGUUCUGGAAGGAAACAGACAUUACCAGUAAUGCUUUCAUGGACAGGGACAUUGGUGACCAGUUCCUUCACACUCAAACGUUUGCACAACAACGUUGUAAAAUUCAUAAUGUUCAAUCACCAAAUAGUUAAAAAACCUGCAAAGAAAAAAACAUCGCAUCAAAAGUUUGAACCAUCAAUAACAAAAGACACGCUGAAAUGCAGAGAGAAAAGAGGACACGAAGCAAAGCAAAACCAAGGUUUUUAUUUUUUUUCUUCGAAUACAUAAACCUGUUCAAACUGUCCACAUAGCAAAACAACAACAUUGAGACCUGCCAACAUUACAGGUAACCUCCAUAUGCAAUCUGUGAUUGUUCCUGCACAAACACACUAAUCAGUUCUACCCCAUAGAUUGAUCCCUGAAGCUUUUUCUUCAGAAAUGAAUCCUUUGCUCUUUAAACUUUAAACUGCAUCCUUGAUAAUUUGCUCCAUGGGAAUAAAUUCUAAACCCAAGUCCAUCAGCUUCUUGGCUCCAUUCUUUGCCCUUAACAACCCAGGUUGGGUAUCCUUCAGCAACCUACACCAAUAGGCACAUUAAGGAUCAAGCAGUAAUGAUUCAUACCAUCAAACAACCAGAAAGAAGUUUUAAGAUCUCAAUGAAGCAGGGGUGGCAAUGGACAGAAGUUUGAUCCACAACACAACAACAAGCACAACUUUGUAUGAGAAUAAAGAGCAAGACUAGUUAAAUUUAAUGUUCCCAAAUUCAAAACCCACAAACCACACUUAUCAAGAAAAUCUAAAUUCACCUCAAAUCAGCCUAUAUACUGAUUUUGCGAAAGAAAUUAUCAUAAGAAAAAUUGGUCUCAUUUCACAAGUUCGAUUACCAAACUUUGCUUUUACUGUAAUGACACCUAACCUAGCAAUAAUAAUCUACUACAAUUUGCUCCAAUAAGAGUUCAAACAUUCUGACAGCUUAACCAAUUAUAUAGACCGACCUCCAGAUAUGAGAAUAUUCAAGAAAUUGGUAAAAGCUAAACAAACAGCUGAAAUAUUCUUCUGAUUUGGGGUUUCAAUCUAUAAUCAGUGUUGUCUUUAGGGUUUUUGCUUUCCAGCUAGCAAGCUAAAGCAAAGCUUAACAUAUAUGAGGACAAAGUGAUAGUAUGCUUGCACGGUUUCACCAUUAUCGUCCAGACUUCCAUAAACAAGUGCACUAACAAGAAAAAAAAAAGAACAAAAAUUGGUUGUUGUUUGAGUUUUGCCUAUGCAGAGACAAGACUCGGUGAGUUGUGGAGGCAGAGCAGUAGAGGUGAGUUGUGGAAAAAGAGGCGAGACUGCGAGAACCCUUGAGAUUUGAGAAAGGGGAAAGGGGAAAAGGGAAAGGGGAAAGGGGAGGGUGACGGUGUGUCGGGGAGGGGAGACAGAGUCAGUUUAUUUUUUUCACUCUCUAUCAAACUCGUUAACUCGGUCCGUUUUUACCGAGUUGACCGAGUUUGGUCGAGUUUGACCGAGUUUGACCAUUUUCGAGUUUUUAACUCGAUUUUACAGGUUAUAUGGGAGUUGACUCGUAAAAUCGUACGAUUUUACGAGUCAACUCGCGAUUUUGACAACAAUGGUUGAAGGGUUAGACUUCAGUUUUUAUCUGAAAAAUAACAUUAACUAAAUAAUUAACUCACAUUAAAUAACUGGUUGGGGAAAAAAUUAAACUUAAAAAAAUUUCAAGUUUGUAAAGAAUUUCUAGGCAGUGUCAUUAAAUUUAGCCUAAGUCAAUUUUAAAAUCUCCUGAUCAAACUCAUCUCUUAGUCCAGGUUUUAAAUUAAACCGUAUGAAAGUUGUCCCGGUAUGACUCAAUUGACCUAAUGAGUUUAAAGUGACCCAAAUAACCAGUAAAAAGUGUAAUUUAACUUUUUUUAAAAAUUUCAAGAUAACAUAAUUUUUUUAAAAAAUAUUGAUACGACAAUAUAUUGUAUUGACCUGAGUUUUGCGGCUUAACCCACCAAAACCAUUACUCGGGUUAUGGACUCCACUUUUAAUAAAAAAAAUUUAAACUACUUUUUAUCUAAUUAUAUGAUAACAAAAAUAGAUGUUUGUAAAAUCAACCACUAACUUGAUGUUGGGAAAAAUCAUGGUGUUUGUUUGAGACCAAAAUAAAUUAUGAAGGUCAAUUCAAAAUCAACCAAAAUUUAAAGGAAAAAAUUGAAAAAAAAUCUGUCAAUAAAUAUCCAAUAUUGAAUGAUGACAUUGGGAAAAAUCAAAGGAAAAAAACCAAAAAAUAGGCUAAACAGACUGGCCUAUAUGGUCCAAUACGCCUCUACCUUCUUUAUUUAUUUUUCUUUUUUAUCAUCCACCCUUUGUUUUUUGAAAACAUAUAUAGUAGGCAAUAUGUUGUAUGUUUUUAUAGAUUCUGACCACCACAUGUGGCUGGAAAGUCAAGCUUCUAACUUAUAGGUAAAAAAAAAAAACAAUUUCAAAUAGUUUUCAAUUGAAAACACCUAAGAAACACCCUAGGGAUCUCAAUAAAUCCAUUUUUUUUAAUCUUAAAUUAGCAUUUAAUCAGUUAUAAAUGAAAAAUCAUUUUAAUCCAUUUUUUAAAAUGUGAUCUACUUUUUUUCAACAAAAUAAAUAAAUAAAAAAGAUCUAAAGAGAACUCUCAUUGUCAAAUGGAACCGAUUAACAAAAAUUAGUCAUUCACUAACUCUUUUUUUUGUGUUUUUAGCGACUUUCCCUUUUCUCUCACAAUUACAUGGUCUAAAUAUGAACAAAAUAAAAUUUAGAACAAAACCUCUCAAUUCCCAAACCAAAUAGACCACAAAGAAAAUUAGACAAAAUCCUAAGGCACAAAGGUGCUAACAUGAUUUUUUUAACGGAAGAUCCUUUUUUAUUUUUUUAAUUGUGGUCCCUUGAUUUUUUUAUUUUUCUUAAAUAAUAAAAUUGGAUUCAUUUUCAUGAAAUUGAGUACCAACCUAAUAGCAAGACUUUUUUAAAAUAGAGAUAACAAAAAAAAUUUGAAACAAAUUAUUAACCUUAAAUCUCAAUAAACACAACAUUGAAGCAUCAAAUUGAAAAGAAAAAAUUGAUGAUCAAAGGCAUAAAAAAAAUAAAGAUGACCAAAGUUAAAACCAUAUAUUUUUUUUAAAUGCCUUAUAUUGUUUUUUUCAAUUUUGGUCCCCUCAUUUUUAAUCUCUUGCAAACAAUAAAAUCAAAUAUAUUUUUUUGUGAAACUUGGCACUAACACCAUGUGAGGAUGUUUUUCUAAGAUAGCGCUAAGCAUAUAAAAAGCGAAUCAAAAUAAAUUAUCAAUCCUAAAUCCCAAUCAACACAACAUUGAAUGAUAAAAUUCAAAAAAAUAAUAACAAAAAAAGGUGUAAAAAAAAAAUGAAGCAACAUUGUGUGAAUAUAUGGUGUUUUGCCUUGUAAUCCACAAUGAUUGUAUGAUGCUUUUUCAGUUUUUAACUAGAUGUAGACUUGUACUACACCACAUGGCCAUAUUAUUAUUAUUAUUGCUUAAAAUGAUGUUCAGGUGAUACGAACAUUUUAAAGAAUGGAGAAAAAUGUGUGACACGAGUCAUAGACCCAACUGGGUUAAAUAAAUUGAUUUUAUUUUAAUUAGAUAAUAAAACAAAUAGGCAAUGACAACAGAUGGACCGAAAAACAUUAUCACGAUAACUUGAAGAAAAAACUUUUUCUAAAAAGGUGAAAAACGAUGUAGCUCAUUUAUCAACCAAUUAAAUACAAGAUGAUAAAAUUAGGUGAAAAUAGAACAAAGAAAAUUGACAUAAGUCAACUCAAGUUAGCAUGACAAACCUAUAACCCGGGUAAUAUAGACCAAGUCAACACGGGUUAGCCCGCCAAACUCUUGGCAUAAGUUAUGAGAUUAUGAUAACUUAAUAGAAAAGAAAAUGAAGAAAAUUACAAUGCCUAUUUUUUUUAAGAGGAAAACAAUGUCGAAUGAUGAAAUAAAAAAAAUAAGUAAGAAAAUGUCAACCCACUUUAACUUCUCAAACUCCUGAUCCGGAUCAUUAGAUCAAAAGCACCCUAUCUUAAAAAACCAUGAUGUCUGAUUCCUAACCAAUCAAAUAUUGAAUGAUGAAAUUAUAAAAAAAAAUCAAUUAAACAAAAGAAUCCAAAAUAGAAAAUAGCAAUUAAACAAUGAAGAACUAGAUUGAAAUAAAAAUAAAUUAGAAAACAACUACAAUUUUUUUAUUGAAGGGUGAAAUUGUAAAUAUAAAUCAAUUUAACAAAAGGACCAAAAAACAAUUAAAAGAAUGAGAAUCAAAUUGAAAAAAAAUAGCUUAUCACAAAUUAGGAUUGAAUGAUGAAAUUGAAAACAAAUUAAAAUUUAACAAAAGGGCAAAGAACAAAAAUUAAAAAUCAAAAGAAUACAGACCAAAGUUGAAGUCUCAAUAAAUAAGAGGACAAGUCUGAAAUUUUGAAUGCUCAAUAUGAAUUUCAAGGGGAGGAGGGAGAAAAGAGAAAAAUAGAAAGAAAGCAUUAUUGUUAACAAACCGCCCCCACUACUGCUGCCUUAUGCGGCCCCAAUAAGGAGAAGAUAUCACGAUGACUCAAUAAACACGUAGAAGGAAAUGUUUUGUUAUCGAGAGACGCCGUAUGCGCCGUUAGAACACUAUGGGAACCUCCUAUAUGCUAACCAUGUUUUUUAUUAUUAUAUUUUAUAUUUAUUAAAAUAUCAAAUUACCCCCAAUCAACUUAAUUAUAACUAAUAAACUAGGUUGAGAAUUCAAAAAAGCCCUCAAAUGCUAGUUUUAGAAUUUUUGCUUUUAAAGAUAUUGUAGUUAUUUUACUGCACUUUAAAAAUAUGAAAUGACCAAGUUAUUUCUGAUCAAUUUGAUAAUGACUAGUGAACCUUGUGAAAAGACUGCAUUACCUCUAAUAGUCAGUUUAAAGAUUUUUGGCGGGAAGAGCAAAAUCAUCAUUACAUUGUUAUAAUUAACAAUGUUUUUCCCUCCCAAAUUAGCUUUUGUUAAUUUUAAUUUUAAUUUAAUUAUAAUUUUCCAUAGCAGUAGACUUUUGGCCUAUAACAAGUUAACUCGAUAUUAUUUGUGGCAAAGGAUAAUAAGAUCCUAAGCAAAAAAAUAAAAUAAAAAAGUUCAAUUGAGUCCUUGAUAUUACUCUUUUUUAAUUUUCUACUUUAAAAAUAAUAAAACGAGGACUUAUAUGUCUUAAAAUGGUACUUGUUUUGGCAUGAGUUUUAAUCGUGGACUUAAUUGGAUAACGUAUGAUAGAUAUAAUGAAAUUUAACUUUUAAAGUUAUUCUAAACAUUACACUAUGUAAAUAAAAUGUUAAAAGAUAGUUCUACUCCAUUCAAUCUUGUAAUGACAAAUAAGUUCUGUAAAAAGAUAAUUUUACCUUGUACGGUUUAAAUUGUGAAAGGAGAAAUAAUAAUUUUAUAAUUUUAUUGUGAGGAUCCACAAUAAAUUAUUAUCUAUUAGUAUAACAGCCCGGCCCAACUUGUCAUAUAUUGUCCACUUUGGGCCUUACUGUCCUCAUGGUUUUGUUCAUGGUGACGCGAGCCCACAUCUGAGCCUGACGCCCCAAAACGCGUAUGACAAGUUGGCAACUAGCACUUGCUAUAUAUUGUCUGCUUUGGGCUUUACCGCCCUCACGGUUUUGUUCCUGGCGACGCGAACCCACAUAUGAGCCUGACGUCCCAAAAAGCGUAUGACAAGUUGGCAACCAGCACUCAUAAUAAGACCAACUACCACUCCCUCACCCGCCGAUGUGGGAUAUUACAAUCCACACACCUUAAGGAGCCUGACGACCCCGUCGGCACAACCGGACAAACAGUGAGGUCGGUUCUGAUACCAAAUGUGACAGCCCCGCCCAACUUGCCAUAUAUUGUUCGCUUUGGGCCUUACCGCCCUCACAGUUUUGUUCCUGAUGAUGCGAGUCCACAUCUGAGCUUGACGUCCCAAAACACGUAUGACAUGUUGGCAACCAGCACUAUUAAUAAGGCCAGCUACCACUCCUUCACCUGCCGAUGUGGGAUAUUACAAUUAGUGUGUGUAAUGUAUUCUUGAUUAAUUUUUUUAGCUUUUGCUUUAAUGGGUUUAAGUUUUAAAGUUUCAUUUAAAAGUCUCCCAAUCAUGCAAUUUGAAAUUCCUACAAUUCAAAUUGUUAGAUUAAUUUAAUUUCAGCAUGAAUUUAUCCCGUUAGGAAUAUAUUGGUUGGGACUUUGAUAUGCUUUGAUAUUACCAUGAUGUUACAUGGAAUCAAAGAUUUCUAAACACAUUUUUUCUUUCCCUCUCAUUAAUUAUAACUUAUAAGUGAAUGGUUAAAAAUACCAGUUUCAUAAAAACAAAAUGAUAAAAAGAAUUGAAAAGAGAUUAUGCAAGAAGGUCCUCUUGUCCUAUAUGCCAAAGAUUUUAUGAUGUUUUAUCAAAAUAUGAAACAUAGAUUAUAUUGGAAAGUUAGGGGUAAAUAUUUUCAGUUCAGUUCGGUUUUUACUUAAAAAAAAUAACCAAAUUAAAAUUUAAAACAAAAAUAAAAAGACUCAGGAUCGGCUCAUGAAAGAAAGCAGGAACUUAUGGAGGCCAUUGAACGUUGGAAUAUAAUGAAAAUUCCAACUUGAUUCAAUGUUGUUGGAACCGGUUUGGCUCGGUCUAAUUCAAUUAGUUUUAAACUCUUAAAUCAAAACCAAACCAACAUAAUUUUUUUGUUUUUCUAAUAUUUAAUUCAGGUUUUUUAGUUAAUUUUUAUUUUAUUUUAUUAAUUUUUCGGUUUUUUUCUCCCCUCUAAAGAAAGUAAUAGAACAUAAUGAAAUUACCAUGAUGCAAGUCUUGGUCGGUCCAUUGAACGUGCACAAUACCUACCAAUACCAUCUCACCUGUUAGCGAACAGUAGCUGUCAAUGUCCAAUAAAUAAUGAAUAGUUUAUCCAUUUGAUAAGGCAUUCAUGAAAUUUAUGGCAGUGUCUUCUGAAAUCGAGACAAGAAACAAGUCAAUGGGACCCCUUCAAGCUCAAGCAUGGUGGCCUCUGAGUUCUUCAUGCUCCACGUAGUUCAACACUUUGUAUUCUAGUUACAAAACUGUAUUAUUAUAUUUCGCCAGCUUUGAUUAAAUAAUCAAGUGAAUUCACAUUAAUAUAUCUGUUUUGUAAUCAACUGCAAGUUAUUUUUUUAAGUUUAUAUAUAUAUAUAUAUAUAUAUAUAUCAACACAUCAAAACUAUUAAAAGAUACUUAAAAAACAUUAAUUUAAUUAUUUUUAAAAUAAAAAAAAUCUAAAAAACACUUUAAAAAACAGGUUGAACCACAUUAUCAAAUACAUCAUUUUCGGAUAUGUUUGGAAUUGUGGUUGUGAUUCAAAAUGUUUUGCGCUUAGAAACGCAUCAAAAUGAUGUUUUUUUAAAAAAAAAAAUUAUUUUUAAAAUCAGCACAUCAAAACGAUCUGAAAACAUAAAAAAUUUAAUUCUUAAUAAAAAAAAUUAAAUUUUUUAAAAACACGGGUUGGAUCUCGUUUCCAAAUGAUCCAUUCAUGGUUGUUCCGAGUAAUUAGCUUUUCAUUAGUACAACGUAAAAUCAAAACUUCUUUUAAAUUGUAGGGGUAACAUUGAAAACAUUUAAAAUAUAAGGGUAGAAGUGAAACAUUUAUGAAUCUCUAGGAGCAGUAUUGAAAUUUACCCUUGUUUUUCUACUGGGGAAACCUCAAUUUAGUCCUCAUAUUUACUUCAACGUCAAUUGAGCCCCAAUCCUUAUGAUUUUGUUAAGUUUACCCCAAGCACAAUUUUAACAUCAAAUCAUUAUAAAUUUUACUUUAUACAAACCAGUUAUUCUCCAAAACAUGAAAGCAAAAGAAAAGAUCAAAGACUAAAACCAGAAUCAAUGAAAUCAGCCAAGAGGAAACAGACCUAAAAGCAUUGUUAUUAAAAUAUAUUUAUGCUUCAUACCUUGCAAGAUAUAUUUAUACUAUAGUACAUACAAGUAUCCAAAGUCAUCUUUUAUUUCUUUUAAUAUAAAUGUUUUAAUAUAAGAGUAAGAGAAAUAAAAUAUAAAAUCUAGAAAAUUUUCUAUGAAAUACCAUACAAAAAGUAACAAUCUUUUAAGGGAACGGGUAUAAUAAAAUUCAAAAAAUUCUUCUAAUGUGUAUUCCCACAUAAAUGAUCCUUUUUAUUUGACCUACAAAAACAAAAAAUAAUUAAUUAUAAUAAAUUAAUAAACCCGGCAUAACUCGGGUGAGACCCGACCUUUUUUUUAUAUAUUUUUUAAUAAACCCAAAAAAUGUAAAGUUAAUGUGUGAAUACUUUAACUUUUUCAUGUGGGAUAACUAUAUUUAUAGUCUAUAUCCUCAUAGAAUAUUUCUUAACCUACACUCACAUGAGAUAACAUACACUCACAUGAAAUGUUUCAGAUAGCUAUAUAUAGCCUAAAACCACAUGAAAUGUUUCUUAACUUUUUUAUAUGAGAUAGCUAUAUAUAGCCUAAAACCACAUGAAAUGUUUCUUUUCCAUGUGGAAUAUUAAAACCUCAAAAUAUUUUUUAAAUUUUUUACCGGGUUGACCCGUUUUGACCCGGGUAACUCGUAUGACCUGGACCCGGCCCCUUGGUCGGGUCAACCCUCAGGCCAGGUUUAAUAACUAUGGUGUACACACUGUCAUUUUAAUGUGGAUUUACACAAUGAAAUGAUCAUUUUGUUAUUUUUAAACAAAAUCAUUUAACUUGCUAUUGGAGGUAAAACAGUCUUUUUCAUGGGAUCCAUCUAUCAAUGUCAUAUUGAUUUGGGAGGUCCUGAUCUUUUUACAUUUUAGGUGCAUAUUAAAAUGACUUAAAUACCAUUAAAAGCAAAAAAUAAAUAAAACUGGGGACAUGGAGCUUUUUGAUUUUUUAAUAUUUUGAUUGCACAAUGAAAUGACUAUAUUUUUCUUAAAAGAAAAAAAAACUGAUAUAAAAAAGUAUUUUAGUCGCUUCAUUAUGGUUUUUAAGUCAUUAUCAAUUUUAAUAAGGGGCAUUUUAGUCUUUUAACAAAUAUAAAUAUAAUAAAAAAUUAAAAGAUGGUAAGCGCGUGCCACGUACACACUAGAGAGAGAAGGGCACUAAUGCCUUUUGAAUUGUGUCUGGCACCUCCUAGCGAUCAAAUGCCGCUAAUAUUUUUCUUUUCCUCCCUCCUCUUUCUCCUCGUCUUAGAUUUCACGCCAACCAUUUCAAAUAUCAAACAUGUCUUGUUAGUUUGUAUUUAUAUCAAUUUUGGUCUUCAUUCUUUUGAUUGCUAUUUGUUUUGUUUUUACGGCUUUUUGAAGUUGAUUUUUUAUUUAUUUUGUCCCCCAAUAUUUUACUUCAUUUAAUUUUUGUAUCUAAUUUGGUCUUUAUUCUUAUGAUUACUAUUUUGUUUUUGUUUUUAAUCCUUUUCUUGAUUUGUUUUUUUAAUUUUAUCCCUUAACAUUUUAUUUCAUUUAAUUUUUGUAUCUUAUUUGUAUCUUAUUUUUUUUAUUGCUAUUUUUUGUUUCUAAUCGUUUUCUUGAUUUAAUUUUUUUUUCAAUUUUGUUUCUCAACAUUAUAUUUCAUUUAAAUCUUGUAUUGAACUUGGUACUCAUUUUUUUUAUUGCUAUUUGUUUUUUUUUUAAUGGAUGAUUAGGAUUUAGGAAUUUUGCUUCAUAAUUUUUUUUGUGUUUGCCUUCUAAAGGGCAAUUAUGGUCUCAUGACAUAGGUCACGGAUUUUAAAAAUUAGCCCGGUUUAACUUCGGUCUUUUUUAGGCCAUUGAUUGCUUUUAUGUGGGGUUAUCCCGAUCUUAGAUUUUAGAUCAUAAGUUGGUCGAGUUAACCCGAGUUGACCCAAGUUUUUUUUUUCAUUUUUUAAAUUGAUUUUUUUAGAUUAGUCUUUCAUCAUUUAGUUUGCUUAAGAGUUGACCUUCAUCGUUUUAUUCAAUUUUUUAUGUGUGAGUUUAUCCAUAUCUCAUGACCAGGUCGUGAAUUUGGUAUGCUGACACGGUUUUUUUUAUCCUUUUUAAAAUUGAUUUUCUUUCUAGAUCGUCCUUAAAUGUUUGCUUUGCUGAUAAUUGAGCUUCAUAUUUCUUUUAUUUUUUUAUGAGGUUAUCCCGUUCUCAUUCGAUUUUGUUUUGUUAUCAAAUAAGAUCGUUAAGACUUUUUAAUAAUAUUUAGAAGGUCUAUUUUUGUAAUAUUUAUAAGCAUUUAUUUUUUUAUUAGUCAUUAUCAUUUUUUAUUGUUAUUUGAUUUUUUUAAUAAUCAAAUUAUUAAAUUAAGAAACUUUAUUGAAUCCAUUCAAAUCAUUGAUCUGUCUCAAAUUUUUCUUUCUCUUUUAAAAACACUAUCAUUGUCUGGACAUUUUUUUUUAACAAUAGAAAACAUUUUGUUAGGCCCGCGUCACAGGGUGGGCUACGUUUCCUAUUUUCUUAAGAGAUAUUCAUAAAAGAAGGGUAGUAUUUGGAAUUUGAUGUUAGUUUAUGUAAAGUUUUUGUUUUUUUUAAUAUAUAUAUUGGGAAUGUAGUUUACAGGAAGUUGUAAAUGUAUCGAUGCUGAGGCUAUUUAUCCUAAACCAAAGCAUAUUUGUUUUACAUGUAAGGCUCCGUUUGUUUGCAGGAAAGUUGUUUCCUUUUGGAAAGUGAAUUCCGGGGAAAGUGAAUUCCGAGAAAGUAUUUUCCGAUGUUUGGUAGUGUUAUGGAAAAUGAACUGGAAAACACUUUCCAGUGUUUGGUUAUGUUAUGGAAAAUGAACUGGAAAAUAAUUUAUUAAUGAAUUAAUUUUUUUUCAAGUUUAUCUAAUAUAUAUUAAAUAUUUAAUAUAAAUAUUUAAUCACUUACAAUAAAAGAAUGAAAUCUAAAAAGUAUAAUGAUGAAUUUUUUUAUUAUAUCUUAUAUUCAUACAUAGCUUAUUUUAUAAAAUAUAACUAUAUAUGUCAUAUCAUAUUAUAGAGAAAUAAGCUUGUGAAAUAUUUUUUAAGUUAAAUAUAUUUUUUUUCAAUUUUAAAAGCUUAAAAUAAGUUUUUUUUUUUAUAUGAAGAAAGCCAAAUUAGUUUAUGGUAAGAGUUAUAUAUUACAUUAGAUUAACAACUAUUUUAAUUUUAAUUUUUCGUCACUGGGAACCAAUUAAAUUUAAUUUAGAAACAAAAAUGUCUUGUAAUUACAAUAAAAUGAUUUAUAAAAUCCUUAUGUUUGGAUGCUGGGCCACCCACCCCCCUAAAAAAACGUUCACAUGUUUGUUCACAUGUUUUGUGAACAAAAGAAAGGAAAAUGUUUUCCUUAAAAUAAGGAAAGGAAAACACUUUCCUGGCUUAAAGUGUAUUAUCUUCCUUUGACCGGAAUUUGAAUUCCUUUGACUAGUUUUCCUUAUAGUUGUCAAACAUUGGAAAGUGGGGAAAAUGGUUUCCAGGAAAAUGAAUUCCUGGAAACAAACAAGGCAUAAGGUUGAAGUGUGAUUAUAAACCCUUUUGAUUUGUACUAGAUUUUUUUUACCUGCGCUACGUUGUGGGAUGGGUUUAUUUUUUUAAUAUAAAAAAGAUAUUCAAAUAAUGAUAACAUGAGUGAAUUCAGAUUAACUUAACUAACCUGCGAUUCAAGUUAACCCUAGAGAAAUGAAAGGGAAAAAAUAGAAAGCUCAAGGCCUAAUAAAUCUAAUUUCAAAGGAUAAAAUUAAAAAAAAAGAAACAUGAAAGAAAAAAAACCCGAGUUAACCCAACUUUACUCUAUUAACCUACCACCCAUGACAUGAGAUUGGGAUAAGAAAUUUAAUUUUUUAAAAAUGACUUAGAAAAAAGGAUCAAAGCUAAAUAAAUAAAAAAACAUUGAAGAAAAACCAAGUCACCCUAGGUUAACCUAACAAACCUGUAACUUGAGAUAACCCUAUAGAAAGAAAUAAUAUAUAAAAUCAAAACCUAAUAGCCCUGCGUAAAAGGAUGAAAAAAAAAGAAAAAAAAAUCCAAUGCAACUUGUGUUAACUUAACUAACCCAUGACUCAGGAUAACCCUAGAUAAGGAAAGGAAAAAAAAAUAGAAAGCUCAAGACUCAAUACCCUAAAGUCAAAGGAUGAAAUUAAAAAAAUAAAACAAAUCAAAGUUAAAAUCAGGCUAAUCUUUAAAACCAUCAACUCUUGUCAUGAGACCAAGAUAACCUUACAAAAGACAAACAAAACUCUUCACCAUAAUAUUUUUUUUUAAAAAAUAGUAAUACAAUUAAUGAGGACCUAAUUUGAUCUAAAAACUAAUGAAAGAAAAUAAUAAGGGACUUAAUAAAAAAAUAAAAGGAUAAAAAAAUUUAAAAGAAUUAGGGCUAAAACUAGAUAAAAAAUGAAAUAAAAUGUUGAAGGACAAAUUGACAGAAAAAACAAAUUAAGAAAAGGAUAAAAAAAAAGCAAUUAUAAGAAUAAAGACCAAAAUUUGAUUAAAAAAAUAAAAUGUUAAGGGAAUAAUUGAAAGAAAAAAAGAAACUAAGAAAAAGGAUAAAAAAAAAGCAAUUAAAAGAAUGAGGAAUCAAUUUGAAAAAAAAAAGUGAAAUAAAAUGUUAAGGGACAAAAUUAAAAGAAAACAAAACAGGCCAUGAUAUGGAAAAAAAAUAGUAAAGAGAAUGAGUACUAUAUUUGAUAUAAAAACAAAACAAAAUCAAAUGAAAAAAGGAUGAAAUUGAAAAAAAAUCUAAAAAAAAAUCUAAAACAAUGAAAGACCAAUCAAAAGAAAGAGGAUUAUAAUUGAAAGACAAAAUGUAUUAGAGGACAACUUUGAUUUUUGGCUGACGUAGCACAAAUUUCAAGAAUUGAAAAGAGAAAACAAGGGGACGAAAAGAAAAGUCAACUGUCGACAAACCACCAUGAUUUGAGCAACACGCGCUACCCCAUAAGCUUUGCCUCCACCGGACACUUUAGACAAAAUCUUGGUUGGGAAAUUUUGGUCACUGCUUGACGAGCGCAGAUAGCGUCCACUCCCUAACACGCGUUGUUCACGGGCUAGUAGCCUUUUUUAAUUUAUGAAAAUAAUAAUUUGCCCUAAUCCAAAUAGAGUAUAAGAAAAACUAUAAUAAAAAUAGUAAAAUAUCCUUUGACCAUCUUUUUAUUUUAUUUUUACUUUGAAGUCGAUGAGGUAAUUGUACUAUUUGUAAAAAAAAAGAAAUUAUACAAAAGCUUUCUUAGCCUUUCAUAUUUUUUUUUUGUCUUUUAAAGGCAUUUAUUUAAUUCAAUUAUACUAAAACAAUGUAAACUACUAAACUUUCCCCAAUAAAAUUGCAAAUGAUCUUUGGGUUUUAUGGAAAAUACCAUUCUAGCACCACAAGUAAGGCAAAAACUUUAUACAAAGAAGGGCAAAAUAGUAAUUAUGCUGUCCAAGUCCAUAGUGAAUUACCUCAACAUCCACAACGAAACAAUGAUCAGUUUUAGAGUUUUUUUUUUAUAAUAUUUAUAAGAUAAUAUAUUUUAUGGCCUCACAUAGAAUUCAAAUGCUUAAUGAUAACUCAAAGAAAAAACUCAUUUGUCGACAAACUAAGCCUGCAAUAUUGUAAUUCUUUUGUUUCCUAAAUUAAGUGUAAAAGAUAAUUUUGUCCGUGAUCUAUUACACCACUUUAAAUAUGAUCCUUAAAAACAAAAAAAAAAUCCUACCAGGUCCCUCAUCUAUAGGAUAUUUACUUAUCAAUUCUCAAUUUAAUUUUUCCCCUUUAAAAUCAUAAAAAAAACUUAGUCAUUUUUUUCAAUGCAAUUGGAGCAAAUGAUCUCUUUUUUUCAUCUCUAUUUUUUUCUAGCGACUAUCUCUCAUCUCUCAUACAUAGAGACUAAAAUGUUGAAAAAAAAUAUCAAAGGACUAAAUCAAGUCGACAUUUGUUUGACAACGCAAUAACUCAAUGGUAAUCAAAUUGAUACAAAUUAUGAAACCUGGUCUAUAAUAAACACAAUGUCAAAAGAUUAAAUAAAAAAAUAAAAAAAAAAAUGAAAUCAAGAGCCACUCUAGAUUCCUUCUUAAUGUUUGCCCUUCAUGGUAUGUUGUUCUCACUAAAAUGGAUUUUAUGAAAUUUAUUAUGUUUUGCCUUAUAAAUGCAUGAAUUGAAGUUUAAUAAUCACAUUAAAACCUUACACACGAAAAACAACUUACCUGUAAUAAUAAUGGUAUCAGAAACUCUUUUGGUAAGCGAAUGGUUAUGGAUGUUAAGUCAUGACUUCGUCAUAGUAGAGCACCCUGUAGCUUUUUAAAAGAAAAAAACAAGGGACCUGUAAUGUUUAUGUUUGUUUGUUGCUGUGUCUAACAUAUACCACCAAUCGAUCUUGAAUCUGUGUUUAUAAUCACAGCUGAAAUUAUGUUUUUUUUUAAUUUUCUAUUUUUUUUAAUUUUUUUAUGUUUUUGAAUUGUUUUGAUGUACUGAUAUCAAAAAUAAUUUUUAAAAAAUAAAAAAUAUAUUAUUUUGAUAUAUUUCUGAGUAAAAACAUUUUAAUAAACAACCACUAAUAAACUUUCAAAUAUCAUCUUAACCAUACAUUUGAAUGGUCAUUCAAUAUUUCUAGUGUUCUUACUUAUUGGUGAAUUGAUGAUGCACAUGUUAUCAUCAAUAUUUGUAAUUUCAAAAUCACUUAUGUUGCUUCUACAAAAAAACCAAAAAACUAAUAAGGUUUUUUUUUAUCAUAAUUUUUUUUUCUUAUUUAGACUAUUUAUGAUAAGUGUUUUUUUAUUCAUUUUACGCUUUAAUUAAGAUUAAAAAUUUCUUUUAAACAAUUUUAAAGAUGCACUUCCAAUAUCCUGAUUACUAAAACAUAAAUCAAUCUUAAAAAAUAAUUUUUUAGCAUGCAUAAAAUGUAACUCAUUAAUUGUUUUUUCAAUUUUGAUUUAGUAUUGAAUAAGAAAACUUAAAAAGAUAUUUAUUAUACUAUAUUAAUUAAGUUUUUUUGUCAUGCUUCAUAACCCAUUUUUUACCCCCAGUUUUUUUCAUGUAUUUUCAAAUAUAUAAUUUUUUUAAAGAAUUUAUUUUAAAUGAAAUUUAGUCAAUUCCCAACGUUUUAUAUUUUUUUCAUUUUCAUUUAUUUUAUUUUAAGUGACAAAGAAAAAUAAAAAACUUAAAAACAAUAUAUAGUAAAAAGAAAAAUAAAAAAUUUAGGGAGUGAAAUCACAUGCAAAGGAAGAAAAAUGAAAGACUAGCAAAUGAAAAAUAAUAAUAAAUAAAUAGAGAAUCAAGAUGGGAUUGGAAAAACUGUAAAAAACAAAAAAAACCUAAUUCAAUAAGGAGAUAAAAUAGAAUCUUCCAAUAUUAUUAUUUUUUUUUGACAAAAACCCUUAACAAUAUAAAUAAACAUAAAAAAAAACCUAGAUGGAGAAAAAAAAAGAAGAAAAAACAUAAAAGGAGUCAACUUUAGAAACACAUAGACUAAGAGAGAGAUAAAAAAAGAGGAGAAAAGAUACAAAAAAGGGACAAAGAAAACCUUGCCACAUCUUUUUCAUCUUCUCUCCUCUCUCAAUCACAACUGCGAACCAUUGUUCUUUUCUCCCUCUUCACCACCAAUACCUCCACAAACAUCGACCAUGAUAGUUUCUCCCUCCACCACAUCUUUAUCUCUCUACCCGAUCACAAAACAUCCUUGUUAUUAACUAUAACCUUGGAAAUCAUAGCCACCACAUUAACUAAAAUCGCACUUAUCUCUCUUAUCAUUAUAAAACACUCCAUGGUAGCAACCCUUUGGCAUUCAAUAACCAUGAUCAUAACCAAUAAAGAGAAAAUUGACAAAUAAAAUUUAUCUUUUCAUGUCAACCUCCCUUUUCAGAUCACGACAAGCUUUAUCAUCAACGUAGAAAGGAAAAGAAGGAGCAUGAGAACUUGAUCUAGUAGGUUUAAGGUUUUCAACCUUGUCAUUUUGUACAGUUUAUGUGUUACUUCGUUUACAUGCUUGUCUAGCUCCUGCACAUGACUCCCAUCUGCCACGACUACCCGUUUUUUUAGUAUCUUUUGUUCGAUUCCAAUCGCUCUUGAAGGUCAAAUACGAAUCCUAAUACAUUGAUUCACUUGUUUUUAUCAAUUUGCAAUAUGUGGUUGAUUUCCUAUUCGUAGAUGUUGUAUUUGCCUACAAUGAUUUGCUUGUGUUGAGUAAUUUAUAAUACGAGGUUGAUUUUCUAUGUGUGGAUGUAUUUGUUUUUUUUAUUGUGAGAUUUGUGCUUUAAUUUUCUUAAAAUGAAAAGUUAUGUUUUAUUUUUAUUGAAGAAUUGACCUUGAGUAUGGUAAAAUGGUUUUGUCUUCAUAUGACCAUUUAAGUAUGGUAAAAUGGUUUUUAUUGAAGAAUUGACCUUGAGUAUGGUAAAAUGGUUUUUAUUGAAGAAUUUGCACAUCCAUUAAUUAGUCUUACUUUCAAACCCGAUGGUUUUUAUUGAAGAAUUUGCACAUCCAUUAAUUAGUCUUACUUUCAAACCCGAGUUAUGUUUUUUUCUUCAUAACCUUUUCAAUUAUGGACUGAAAAAAUAGAUUUUAAAAUCAAUUUAGGGGAUUUUUUUAUAAGGUUUUGGAAAAGAUAAGAAUAAUUGAUUUAUAACUUGCAAUUUAGGCAAAAUCACAUCACAAGUAAAGAGAAAAUGAAUCGAUUGAAUAUGCAAGACUAGGCUUUAGUUUUUAUGAUAUUUUGUGUUCUUAGAUAGGAGAGAAGAAAGAGAUUAUAUUUUUAAAUUAAUUUGGGAUUUUUUAGGAGCAUAUUUUGGCUAUUUAUGUUAUAUUAUAUAGGAGGGUAGGUUUGGGUUGUUUAUGUUCACAAGUGCCUUUUAAAAAUAUUUUGCUUGUUGGUUUUUUUUUUUGCCCCUUUAGUCUGAUAGUUCUAUGUUUUGAUAUAAAACUUUAUUUAAUUCACAUUCCAAUUCCCGGGUUUGAAAAAUGAGAUUUAUUGGAAAAUUAUGGAGAGAGAAAGUAAUGGAAUGGUGAGAUUUCGUUGAUAAAAGGUUAAAUUUGGUGUCAAUGUGUUUUUCUUGGCAUAAGAAGUGUUAUUGAGGUAUUUUUGAGCUUUUAUGUUGUUAGAAAAAAUAGAUCGAGGUUAAGAGAAUUUUUUUUUUUAUGCUUUUGAGUUAAUUUAGAGGUUUUUAAGUUGAUAAAUAAAUUUAUCGUGAUUUAAAGGGUAUUUUUGGAAGUAAAAAAAUUGAAAUUUAAUUUUUUAAGUCCUAAAAAUCCUAGCUUGAUUUUCCACCAUCUCUCUAAUGGGUGAAAUUUGAACUCACAAAUAACACAUCAUCUACUUUCUUUUUUAACUCAUUAAAAAAGUCUAAAGGCAUGAACAUGGCCUACUUUUAGGUUUCUUUUUAAUUUCUUUUUAAUUGAAAUUUAAUUUUUGUAAUAUUAAAUAAUUUAAAAUAUUUUAGAUAUUAUUUUAUUAAAUGCCUUUAAAUUUUUACCUUGUUUCUGAAAAAAUAUAUCAGUCUUUUUAUAACAUUAAGAAAUGUUUUUUUUACAACUUAUAAUGAUUUUUUAUAAUUUUAUUUGGUUUCUUUUCCAUGUGCAUGUAUUUUUGCCAUCAUAUAAUUAAAUAAAACGAUAAUUUUUAAAAAAUAAAGUUAUUAAAAUCAAUAAGAUGUGUGAGCUUGAAUCAUGAUUUUAGUGAGUUAACUCAAGUCAAUCCAAGAUGUUUUCAUCUCAAUAUUUUUUAAAAAAAUGUCAUCUUUAAUUAAUUUUAAACAAAAUUAAUUUUUUAUUAGUUACCGAGAUUACCUUUGAACCCUUUAGAUUGAGCAGAUCAUAUCAAAUUAAUUUUCACAUGGUUUAAUUUAAAAUUUAGAUAAAAAUUUAAAUUAAAGGUUUUAAAAAUUACUUAACCCUAUUAAAGAAUCCACUAUAACAAUACAAGAACAUUGUUUUUCCAGCUGUGAUGUCUUUUAGUAAGGAAACGUUUCAGAAUGUAAAUGAUAUUUUUUAAAAAAUUAAUUUUUUUUUGUUUAAAUUUAAUUUUUUUAUAUUUUAUUUUUUUUUGAAAUUUUAAUAUUAAAAAUAACUUAAAAAUUAAAAAAUAUUUAAUUUAUUUUUAAACAAAAUUAUUUUUAAAAAAACCACCACUAAUAUAAUCUUAAAUAUUAUAAAAAAUGCAAAAACAAUAUAAAACACAUUGUAUCCAGAAAGAAAAUAAGAAGACGACUCGCACGCGCACACUGAGAGAGUCAGAUAUUUACCUGCAAAAACAGAAUGAUGAACAAAAAAACCCAUUUUUGAUAAGCUAAGAAAGAAUUCAAAUCUCGCUCUCGUUGGGUUUUAAAUCUCAUUUUCGGAGCCAAAUCCAUUUCUAAAACUUUUUCUUUCUUUUGUUGGCUAAUGUAGGUUGCCUUCUGUUAAUGUUGAGGUUUUGUUUUGUCUAGUUUGGUAUCAUAAUUCUCUUAUGAAUCAGUUUCCCAUGGAAUUCCAUUGAUUUGAUUUAUUAGAACAGAUAGGUAAGAAUUGAAUUCCCUUUCGUUAUUUGAAAGGAUAAAUGGGUAUUAGUGCAUUUGGGAUUUGAUUGAAAUUUAAAAACUGGGUUUUGUUUUCAGGAGUAAUUGCUGGUGGGUUUUGCGACUUAGACCCUGAUUUUGAGGAAACAGGGGGUUUCUUUCUUUUGGUUUGGCAUUGCAUAAGGAGAGGGGAAGUAGAGUUGUAGGUAUUAAAAAUCAGGAGAGAAGUGGGUUUUGGCUUUUGACAGAGAAUGAUUUGUAUAGGAGAAAAGGUGACAUGAGAAGUAGAGUUAUUGUUGGUCCAGAGGUACAAUGAAUGGAGGGUCAUUCGGUCAAAGGGGGAGUUAUGGAUCAUUGCCUUGCUACGGAAAAUUAUCAAAUAUUGCACGAAAACAAUCUUCGAAAAUGCCGCCAGUGAGUUCAAGGGACAAGGAGCGGGUUCUCCUGGUUGUUUGCCGGUGCUUGGGGCGUAGAAGAGUUGCAAUGUUGCUCUUGGUUGCACUUGCUCUCCUAGUUUUCAUCUGGGGUUCCCUUACAGUUAGCAAAGGUAUGGUUCAAACAUGUGUCCUUUCCUAUGAUGUAAAAUGUUUGAGUGUUUUAUGUAUUCUUUUGUUCUACCUGUCCUUAUAUUUUGGUACUGUUGCACUGAGUUACAGGAGGAUGAAAGUUUUCUAAUUACAAGGAAAUAAUCACUUAACAAAGGAAUAGUUUAGGCACCUAUUUAUUAGUUCAUGCUGACUAUUCUAUAUUUAACAGAAAAGAUAAAAUGUAGUAGUGUUUUAAUUCUAUGAGCAUCUUUUAAUUUUUCCUGUUGUUUGAAUGGAAAUGUUUAAGUCAUGUAUUAUUCAUGUCUUGAGAGCAGCUGUAGCAUGCAGUGAGGAGGGGGGGUGGGGAACAAGAAAUAAAGAGGUGGAGGUGGUUCUUCAUGAAUUUUGGUUCCCAUAUAGGUGUGGGCCAUGAUUGAAUAAUGGCCUUGUUUCUAUUAGUUCUCAUUCUGUGCUAAAUCCUUGACAGGAAAGCUGACAGCCAGAGAGUCUUCUUCUUUCUCUCUCUCUAUUUUCAAUCUUGAAUGGAAAGCAUACGAAGACAAAGUUGUCUUCUUGAAUUUAAAACAGGAGAUAAUCAAUCGAUUACAAAUAUUGAUCAGAAUGAAAGAUUCUGUUAUCAAGUUAUUUUUCUGCAUUUAAUUGAUGAUGUCAAAGUCCUGAAAUACUUGGGAUUUUUACUGCUAUUUGUUUUGCUUUAGACUGGUUGAGGCAAUAACUAAUGUGCAUUUUGUGUUAUGGAUGCCCCAGAAACCACAAGUCCAACUGUUAGACCAAUGGAUAGUAUACAUUUUGACAACAGUGAUAUAAUAAGCCAUCCUUCUGUUGCCUGUCGUUCUAGAGCUAAUAGCAUAUUGGACCAUCCAUGCCACAAGUUUGCUCUCCCUCCUCCCCCUCCUUCUGGUGGACGACGGUUUGGACCACGCCGUAAGUUUUGGGUUAUUUUGGUUGAAGUGUUCCUUAUUUUCUUGUUUUUCUGAUCAUUCUAUUAAUAUAUUGGAUUGGACCAUAAGUUUGAGUUGCUACAUCUGUGCGUCAUUUGGAAGUAAAAAAUGACUUCUGGCCUGAAUGUUACUAAAAGUCAUGUAUAUAAUUUUUCUUGCACCAAGAAUGUGCUCUCACAUUUCUGUAACAGAGAAAACUGGCAUGUUUUUGCAAUUAAUGUUAUUAUCUUUCUCAUCAGUGUUUGCUACAGAAGACCUCUUGCAUGUUCAAUUGUAAAUUGAUACAAAAUAACCCUCAAUACCUUUGUAUAAAGUAUGCCAAAAUCUACUCUCUUAGUUGAAGCAAAAAAGUGCUCACAUGCAAUUUAUUUCUGUUGGUGUGGUAUUUACUUUGUUGUCACUCAUUUGUUAUGCAGCUUGUCCAGUAUGUUACAUUUCUGCAGAGCAAGCUAGAGCUAGCAUUCCAUGCUCCUCAUCUGCAUCACCAGUGCUCCGCAACUUAACAUACGUUGUUGAUGAAAACCCAAUUAAAAUUGAAUCACAUGGAGGUUCAGAAUUUGGUGGAUAUCCUUCUCUAAAGCAGAGGAAUGAAUCUUUUGAUAUACAAGAGUCGAUGACAGUGCACUGUGGGUAGGAGUCCUUCUCACCUAUCAUCUUUCUGUAAAAUUAUAAGCAUUGAAGACUGUUUUGCAUGGAUCUCAUGAUCUCUGUCCUCCGUUAUUAUACAAUGUCCUGUAACAAAUACGAAUAACUUAUUUCUUAUAAACACAUAUUUUUCUGUUGGCCGUAUUUUUUAUCAGAUUUGUUAAAGGAAAUAGACCUGGCCGCCAGACUGGAUUUGAUAUUGAUGAAGCUGACCUGAUGAAAUUGGAAGAGUUUCACGAGGUCAUUGUUGCAUCAGCCAUAUUUGGUACUGUUUAGCACUGGACAUUCUGCAAAGAUUUCUUGUUUUAUCCAUGUUUUCUACUUUCCUCAUCAUUGCACUUUCCCAGGGAACUAUGACAUAAUACAACAGCCCAAGAACGUUAGUGAAGCAGCUAGGAAAAAUGUUCCUUUUUAUAUGUUUAUUGACGAAGAGACAGAAACAUAUUUGAAGAAUUCCAGCGCCCUAGAUAGCAAUAUGAGGAUCGGACUGUGGAGGAUUAUUGUCGUCCAUAACAUCCCCUACACUGAUGCAAGACGCAAUGGAAAGGUCAGUUUGCAUUUGUUUGGUUGCUUUGCCUGCUUCUUUCAGAUUUCUCUCUUUAAUUUCCUUGGGCAUCCAAACCUGGGCUGGAUUACAUCACUUUCUUCUUAAUUUUUUUUCUUCCCCUUGUUCUCCUGCUUCUCUGUUAACUCAUUGAAAACAAAGCUAUCAGUUUGUUAACAAAUUUCUGUUUAUCUCUUGGUGAGUCUUCAAGUAAUUUCAAUUUUGGUGCUAAUCCUAGCAUGGCAGAAUUUCCUGAAUAAAUUUCUGUUGAUAUAUUAAUCUAAAAGAUUUUCCUUUUUUUUUCCUUUUCAUUUUUGUUUUGGGCUAUGAUAUUCAAUAGUACCUCAUACUUCAAGUCAUUUUCUUUUCAAUUACUGAAAACCUAAAAUGUUGCUGCAAGAAGUGAUGGAUGCUGUCGUUGUGCUAUGUAAAUGGACAGGUUCCAAAGCUUUUAUUGCACAGGCUCUUGCCUAAUGUUAGGUAUUCCAUAUGGAUAGAUGGAAAGCUCCAGCUUGUUGUGGAUCCAUAUCAAGUUCUUGAGAGGUAUAUUGUUUGUGCUUAAAUUAAGUGGUCAUUGAAUGGAGUCAUUCAGAUAUGUAAAAUGGCUUGUGAAUUCAGUGCAUCUUUUUUUUUAAUUUUUCUGGUAUCUUCAAAUUGAGAUGUAUGGAAAUUUUGUUGUACCUGUGUGUGUAUACUCAUUUUCUUCUGUUAUCUGUCACUGUACCAAUUUCUGGUCCCAACAUGGCAUCACUUCAAAAGUUAUGAACCAUCAUAAGUUUCAUUGGUUCAUCAAUAGGCAACUUACGGGAUUCUGGAAAAAUGCAUGGAAAAUAUAAUUAUAGCCGUAUGCUCUUUUUAUCAGCUGUCUUGCAAUGUUAACAUUAUUACACUGUUAUUGAUCCUACAUUUUCAUUUAAAGCAUUCAAAAAAGGAACUGCUUUUCUUGCUUGGGACAUGGGAAUGUCAUCUUUCUGUUGGUUUACAGUAACUCAUGCUUUGGCAAUGUGUUCUGGAUAUGUUGACUCAUGUUAAGACAGUUUUUUUAGUGUUAGCAUUUACCAUAUAGAUCUUCAUGCAUAUUGCAUUUCUGGCCUCUAGAAGAAGGGGAAAUAGGUAGAUAAUUUUAGUAUAAUUGCAUAAUCUAUGUGUUUGAAUCAUACCUGAGCUGUCCUUUGGUUCAGAUUCUUGUGGCAGCAAAAUGCCAGUUUUGCAAUCUCAAGACACUAUCAUCGCUUUGAUGUGUUUGAAGAGGCUGAAGCUAACAAAGCUGCAGGAAAGUGUGACAAUUCAUCCAUUGAUUACCAGAUUGAAUUUUAUAAAAAAGAGGGUUUAUCGCCAUAUUCCAAGGCUAAGCUUCCAAUAACCAGUGGUAGGUGUAUAAUCCUAUGUGUGUGCGCACGCGCUUCAUGUUCUUGAAGAUUUGUAUUUCUUAUGUUUUCUGCUCAAUGACUGACCUUUUGCAGAUGUUCCUGAAGGUUGUGUUAUCAUAAGGGAACAUAUUCCCAUCACAAAUCUGUUUACCUGCCUGUGGUUCAAUGAAGUUGAUCGGUUUACUGCCAGAGAUCAGUUAAGCUUCUCCACUGUGAGGGAUAAAAUAAUGGCUAAAGUUGAUUGGAGCAUCAAUAUGUUUUUGGAUUGUGAGAGGCGUAAUUUUGUGAUUCAGGUACAUGUUUAUGUGUUGUCUUUCUAUUAUCAGGGGAGAUGAAACCAGUGCAUCUAAAACUAAGCAAUUUGUUAUUGUUCUGCUCUAAAUGAACCUUAUAAGUGAACUUUUCUAAUGAAGUUGGCCAAAAAAGCUGAAUGACUUUAAUUUUAUUGUUAUAUUAACUUAUGUAUUUUUUUUCCUUCCAUGUUUAACAUUGAGCAGCACCUCCUUCCUCUGUUGAAAGAGGAAAGUAUGACAAUUUAUUAUUGGUCUGCUCUAUGUUGCCUGUUUGUCUUAUUUAUUAUUGGUCUGAUUUUAGCCGCAAAUGUUCCUUGUUUCCCAAACACAGAGUUCUGGCAACUAAAUGGAUCCUCUGACAACAGUGUAUUGAACAAAGCUGUCCAGCUACUAUAUACAGUGCACGAGACUGAUCUCUAUGGGUGUCUUUGAUCCCUUCUCUAUUUUUUGAUCCUCCAAGUGUUUCUUUGGGUGUUUAAUGUGGUUACUCCAUGCAUUUUAUCAUGUUCUCCAUACAAGUGACAUUUGAGGCUAAAUUCCGUCCUGGGAGUGCAGCUAGUAUGCUUUGACCAAAUGAUGCUAAAAGCAGGAACGAUCAAAUAAAAACAAUCUUUAAUGGGGAUAAUUAACUUGGAUUUAAAAAAUAAAACUCCUAUGCUUUGGGAUGCUAAAUCCUACUACUAUUAGUUUCUCUGUAACAAAAUGCCACUGUUUUAUGGUACUUUUAUGCCACUUGAUUUUUCUUUUGACUUGCAGGCUUACCACAAAGAUUUAUUGGACCACAUGCCACCUCCAGUUGCUCAUGUUAUUCGACAUCCACCACCAUUACAUCGUGAUAGUUCAGCUGGGAGAAACCCAAGUAAAAAUUCAAGGCGUGGAAGAGAUAGGAGAUCUGGUUCAAGGCAACACCGCAAGGCUGCUGCGGGUAACAGGGAGAAGCAAACCUUUUUGUAGGAGAGGUAAAAGUAGGUGUUUUUUAUUUUUUUUCAUUAUACUGCACGGGGAAGAUGGAUUUGGUUAGAAGUAUUUAGAAUGACCCAAAAACAAAAGCAACCGAAAUUUUGUUUGAAAUUAUUGAUAUCUCAUAUUCUUUCAUUGUUGUAAAUACUUCAUACCAAAUAAGUCCACACCAGCUGCAAUCAUUGAAUGCUUCUUGAUUUUCAUUUACUUGGUGCACGAACAUGCAUUGGCCAUCACUUGUGUAUCUUGAAAAUGUCAGCUUUCAUGCUUUAUGCGUUGUCCAGUUAUAGAAAUGGAAGAUAUACUUUCUACAUUGGCCAUCACUUGUGUAUCUUGAAAAUGGCAGCUUUCAGGCUUUUUGCGUUGUCCAGUUAUAGAAAUGGAAGAUAUACUUUCUAUCCUCUAUACAAUAAAUACCGUGCCAUCCUGAGUGCGGAGCGACUAAUCCUUGUUCUUAGGAGUGUUGUUCAUCUUCUCUUUUGAGCUAUUAAGAUGCACUGCUUAUUCUGCUUUUCUAAGCUUGAAUCUGAUCUUUCCUUCAUGUGUUCUUCCAAGGUUUUGGGAAUGAGUUGUUUAAUUCUAGGGCAUUUGUAAGAUGAGAAAAUCUUAGUGUUUUCAGGCCUACGGAAUGUUUCCUAACCUGUGACUGUACAAGUAAAUAGGAAGAUUUCUGAACUGGCCUCGUCCAUGCUCUUACCUCAAUACCCAGAUUGAAAAUUUUGGUACCCUAUAUGUUGAAUCUCAUGUUUCUCCACUCUUAUCAAAUCCUCAACUAAAUUCAAAAGCAGGAAUUGAAAGUGGAAGGAUAGAUUAUCCUUCAACCCUACAGACAGCACAUAACAUGAUCCUUCAACCCUACAGACAGCACAUAACAUGAAAGGGUCUCACAGGAGAGGAGAGGAGAGGCCUAUCAGCAAGAUACAAGUUCCAGUGGUGAGAAUCGACCAUACACUUAAAAUAACAUACAAUGAAGUAUACCUGCAAAAUAUAACAGCUGUAUUGAAUACAAUAAUGGCUUCUUCUCUGUGAUGAUAAUAUAAUAAUGUGGUUUUGUCAUUCGAUUUGCAUACAGAACAGAGCAAUACAGCUUGAGAUAUGUUAAAAGUAUUCUAUGGAUCCAUUUUUUCAAGUGCAUGCCGAAAGCACUUUUGACAAUUAAAAGCAACCUCAAGUUUUAGCAAGUUCGAGUUAAACUAUAAAGGUUCACACUUUUUAGGCAUUGAUUCUCAUUUUCUGUUAAUUAUUUCUUACUCUUACAGUUCAUUUUAUAAACAAUUUUCUUAAUUCGAUGAUAAAAGAAAUAUCUUCCUAGUAUCAGUUAAAAUUUGAUAACACCUGCAGCUCAACUAAUAAGAUGCAUCGAAGAUGAUGUUGAAGUUAACAAAUUGUCAUGACACUUCCUGUUAGCUUUUUUCUCUUGUUUAAAAUUAUUAUUUUGAAAUUAUUUUAAUAAGCUAAUAUUAAAAAUAAAUUUUAAAAAAUAAAAAAAAUAGGACAUGAUAAAAGUUAUAUUUAUUACACCCUCUGUAGAUUUCUCGUGAGGAAGAAAGGUCGUGUGAACUUGAUCCUCCUACAUGACGAUACAUGGAUUCUAACUUCCAAAAAGCAAAAAUAAAAAAUUCCAAAAAGAGCUUUUCUUCUACAUUUAAGAUAAUUAGAAACACAAAGGGUAGAGGGUCGGCCAGUGAACAUGUGACCCACAAAUGUGGGAUUGCUAAGCACAAGAAGCAAAGAAAGGCAUAAAAAAACGAAGGCAUUUUGUGCAUGGGAGGAAGGUAUGGUAUGGGAUUAUUGAGAGCAAGAAAUCUCUAUGGAUUGCCACUUGAAAGGAUAUAAAACACCAAAUUAUUGCUUUCUCUACCACCUCUCUGUCCAAAUCUACAUACCUUAAUUAAAUAAGUCUGAGCCCACAGAAUUAUUAUAUCCAUUAAUUUAGCUCAAUUAUUAUAUCACCCAUAAAUGUCACAUCCAGAUCAGCACCAAUAAUUUUACCUUCCGUUCCAGUUUCAUUUCCCUUCAAUUUGUUUACAGCUUUAGGGUUUUGGGAUGCAAAAGGGUUUCCUGGAUCUGUCUCUCAACAUCUUGAAUUUGAGGUUAGGAUCCUAUAGUCUUUUAUUGGUGGAUUAAAGGGGUCUUAUAUUGAAAUUUGAGGUGGGGUUUAUGUGGGUUUUUCUUGUUUAAUACACUUUGAUUCAAGAUUUGUUUUCUUGGUACAAUUGGUGGGGGAGAUCAAGUUAUGGUCUUGAUUAAUGGGUUUAUCUUGGUUUUUGAGUCUUGGGUUGCUAUCGAAUUCUGGGCUUUAAAUCUUGAUCAAUGAUUCGAUCGUCUUUCUUCAAGAUCACACAUUUAAAAAAGUAGGUUUGAGGGCUCUUUCAAUAGGGUCGAUGUUACUCUUUUCUUGUAUUGUACUUUGGUAGCUAUGGUUUAAAGGCCUUUUCUUGUUGGGUUGAGCCAUUGUUUCUGAUAGAGUUAAAGAAAGGAGAGGGGAGAGUAGUUCUUUUUGGUGCUUGAUUAAAUGGGAUCCUCUGGCUUCUUUCUGAUAUGUAUGCUUCAUUCUGUGAUGGCUCUAACUUGUGGAGCUUUGAUGAUGUUUUACACAAAUGAGGCCACUGUGUUUGGUCAUGGCAUUGAAAUAGCUACAAAGCUUAAAGGUUCAACACCACAUGACCAACUCCUGGUCCAAACCUCUGAUUCCUUUUCUGGGUUGCUAUUGUUUGCCAUUGGGUUCCUUUUGUUCAUGGUGGCAUUUGUUAAGGACAGAGAGUUCCAGAGUUUCUUUGCUAAAGGUUGUGUCUUGCUACAUGUUUCAAUGGCUUUCUGGAGGAUUUACUUUGAGAGGAAGCUUGAAGAUCUGGCUCGUGAUUUGCCUAGACUAGUUGUUGGUGACAUUGCAUUGGCUCUUUCUUGGGUUUUCUUUCUUGUUUAUUCUUGGAGAGAGAAGUAUGAUUAGCAAGCUACAAGAGUCAGAUAGCCAGUCCAUCAUCGAAUAAAUUUGAGCUGUUAUUGUGGUAGCGUUACGGGUUCUGCCAAGUGGGAUCUUUUUUCCUGGCUCUGUUCUGUAAAUUACAGGGUGAAUCUGGAACUUUAAAGAAAUGGACGCAAAGCAUGGAUCGGAUUCUUGGUUAGUGCGCGUUUUAAAUUCUUGAUUGGAUCUUGAACAAGCUUGGAUUCCAAGAAAAGCUGGAGAUGAGAUCUGGGGGCUGCCAUUUUGUUUUUAAUUGAGAAUCUUCAACUUGAGAAGUUUCUUGCACUUACUGUGGUGCCUCUGUGGGCUUCUUGUAUUGAAUUUCAAUGGCAUUUGUAAAUCAACCUUCUUCAAAUAGAUAUUUGAUAAUAAUUAGAAAUGUGAAUCCCAUAAAAGUUUACUCGUUUGCUGCCAUCUCUUACUUUCCUGGCAAUCUUUUCUUGCUAUUUUUCCAGUCUAUUUGAUUUACUGAUAUUGCAAUUUGCACGCAUCCGCAGCUUUGAGUUUGGGACAAAACUAUGCCAAGACAUUUCCAGGAUUUUGUUAAGCAAUCCGAGGGAGGAAUGAUUUGUCUAAUUAAUCAAACGGCAAGAACUGUAAAUGGAGUCACACCAACUUUUAUUUUUUUAUUUUUUGGUUGUAUAUAUUAUAUGAAUUCUCAUCAUAUUAUAUCAUAUUAUUCGAGCUAUUUCCUCUUUGCAUUUCAAGAAUAAUUUGGAAAAAAAAAUAAUUUUAUUUAUUUAUUUUAAAUUAAUAAUUUUUUAAUAUUUUAAUAUUAUUUUGAUAUAUUGAUAUUAUUUAUCAUCAUAUUUUACAAGUUAUUUUGUAUUUGUAUUUUAAAAAUAUUUUUUUAAAAAAAUAUUAUAUUAUUACUAUUUUUAUUUAUUUUAAAUUAAUUAUUUUUUGGUGUUUUCAUAUUUUUUUAAUGUAUUAAUAUUAAAAAUAAAAAAAAUAUUAUUUUAAUAUAUUUUUAAAUAAAAAUUAUUUUAAAAAAUAAUUAUUAUUAUAAAAUCAAACAGAAUUUUAAUCUUUUAAUUUAUUGAAGAUUGACCUUAAUUUUUGUUGCAAACAUAAAAAAAAAAAGUUAUAAAGAAGGGGGAUUAUACGACUUCUUAUCUUUUCCGAUGCUGAAAUUUUAUCAUUCUAAAAAUAAUAAUUAUUAUUCCUAUAAUAAUAUUUUUUAUUUUGAAAAAUAACUCUUAAAUUUAUAUGGAAGGAAAACUAAAAUUUAUUGAAAAUUAUUUUUAGUUGGUUUGAGAGUGUGAUUAUUUUUUAAAAUAUUUUUAAUUUAAAAAUAUAUUAAAAUAAUAUAUUUUUUAUAUCAUCAAAUCAAAUAAUCUAAGAAAAAUUAAUUUUAUUAAAAAAAAAGAUUUAGCUUCUGUUUCAGCCGCAAUCCGAGUGCUUAUUCUACGUUAAAAAGAAAAGUAUAUGCUGUUAUUGGACCAUGAAGGCUCGGCCCACGGACGCCACAACAUCUUGUCUAGGGACCCGUUUCUUUCUUCUUCUUCUUCUUCUCUCUCUCUGAAGUUUCUAGCAUUCAACCACAACAGAAACCCUGCAGAGCCCCAACUCCUGAAACCUUUGACAAAAUUCUAACGGUAACUUAUUCUUUUCUUUUGCUCUUUCUAUGUUUCCUUGUGUUCAUCUGUUCAUUUAUUGUCUUUUAAGUUGUAGAUGGUCUGUUAUGGUUUAGUGUUUUGCUUUGUUUCUGGUUUUAUUGUUUGAAUAAACUUUUUUCUUUUUCUUUUUUCAGAAUUGUUAUUUGCUUUUGUUUUUUCUUUAAUUCUAAUUGUUAUGAGGAAAGGUCAUCAAAAGCUCAAAUGGUUUUAUCUUGAAGAUGAUUUUUUAGUCAAGAAUGCAAUUUUGUAAUGGCAAAUGAUUAUAAUUGGUAUCAUUAAUUGAUUUUGGUUUCUGGGUAUAUGUUUUGCAUAAAUUUCAAUAUUUAGGUUCCGUUUUAAAGAAGAUACUGUAGUUUUCAAGAUAGUUGAGAAACUGAGAACAUGAUAGACAUGAUCUUUCACUGCUAUGAAAAGGAUGAUCAUGCCGGAGUUCUUAGAGAAAAAGGUCGGAUUUUUACUCGAGGAAAAUGAAUUAUUUAUUUUUUUAAAAAAAAAAGUUUGGUUACUUGAAGUUAUUGAUUGGGAAGCUUUCAUACUGUUGGUUCUGAACUUGGGUGAAGCGCAAUUUUGAACUUUUUAAGUUUCUAUUUUCUGUAUGUUGAUUUUGGGUAUAUAGUUAGUCAGUUGCAUAGAGUACUGCUAUAUAACACAAAAAUAAGUUAGCGAAAAGUUCACAAGCAGAUAAAGUGGCCAGAGAAGUGAUUUCGUUCAACUUUUGGGCUAUUUAUUUUUUGUGCCUGUUCGUGUCCUAUUUGUUACAAAAUAUUCGUGUUAUACAGCUUUCUUCAAUUGGGUAAUUGAGAAGCUUGGUUGAGUUAAGUUGCUUCCUGGAUUUAAAAAGAAAUGGGGUGUCUUUUUUGAGUGGUUGUUUCCUUGAACCCAUAUAUAAGUGCAUUUAUAUUAGGCUUUUGUGAUUGCUUCUCAUGACUGUGUCAGAAUCAGAUUCAUCGGUUUGAUUGAGUAUAAUGUUGACAGAUUUUUGGCCAAAUGUCUAAUUUUUAUGAGGGGAAAUGGGAAUAUGAACAAAAACAAACCUUUCAUGUUGUUGAUUUACCACGCGGAGUACUUAAUCAGGUCUUAAGUUUCUGUCUUAGUAAGCAAAACAGCACUUAAUGGUAUGGCAGUGUUUCAAAUUGUUUGAUGGAGUCGGAUAUCAUACUGAAUUGCUUGUGCUAUGAGCUGCAUUAGAAGGAUGAUUAGUGAUCCCUUUGUAGGAAAACAAAUUGGGAUAUGAGCAAAUCUCAUAUGGUGGAGGACAGUCAUGCAAUGGAACAUCUGAACAAAAAUUUUGAAUUGUUUUAGUGGAGUUGAUUGAUUGGACAAUUUGUAGAACAAGGACUCCAGGUGGCAAAGGCAUUAAUUGGCAAAAAGAGAGAAAAGAAAAGGUGCACUUUUUUCUGAUGAAGAAAAAGAUGUCUCUAUUCACAACAGAAAAAAUCUCCUCUUUUUUUUUUUUCUGAUGAACCAAGCAAUUGCAAGCAGCUAGUAAUGAACAACAAACAAUACAGUAAUGAAGAAAUAGAUGUCUCUCUAUUCACAACAGAAAAACUCUCCUCUAGUGAAUUGUAUAAUCAUUGGAAUUAUAACAACGAAAAAAAACCUAUGUAAUGAGUUUAUAAAUAGAGUAGAGGCUCUUGAAUGAUUUUCUUCAUUCCUUUCUUUAUUUCUUUAUGCCUUACAUGUGUUUUCUGCAGAUUUGUGAUGGGUGGACUGCCUUUGCAAAAUGCUUCCCCUACCCCAGUUGUCAGCCAGGUGUCAGUAAUUACAAAUUCUACUAAAGAAUCAAAGCCCAAGAAGAAGAUCUGCUGUGCUUGCCCUGAAACUAAGAAACUAAGGGACGAAUGCAUUGUGGAGCAUGGUGAAGCUGCAUGCGCAAAAUGGAUUGAGGCUCAUCGACUGUGCCUCCGUGCUGAGGGCUUUAACAUUUGAGUUUGGUAGAUAUGGUUUAGUUCAUAAAUCAAUACCAUUUUGGAAUAUAGAAUACUUGUUUUGGAAUUACACAUACUGAAUAGGAGGAAUAAAGCUAGAAAACACAGGUUUUCUUGACCUUCUGUACUUGCAGUCAUUUUUAUCUUCUUGAAUUAUGAUUUCUUUCCUUCCUCUGUGACAAUUGAAAAUGAUCAGAAUCCUUGGGUGGGGUUGAUAUUGUGUUGUCUCUUCUCUUUGUCAGUGUUAUCUGAUUAUUUUUUGAACCUGUGAUUUUACAGGCAGAGGAAAGUUGUUCCUCUGAUGUAUUGCAUUCCUUACAUGCCAAUAACUCUCCCAUUUGUGAUUCCUUAUUUAAAUUCCAUUACGGUGUUAUGUAUUGUUCUGAACUUCUGAUGAUAGAUUAUAGACUCUCAUCUCGUACUUAUGCAAGCUUAUCCUCACAUGUUGAUUGUUAUCCUUACAAGUAGCAGUUGCUAAGGAUGAAGUGAAAAGUUAUAAUCUGAAGUGUAUUGUCCAGAAUUAGACAUUCUCAUCAACUUUGCUGCAACCUGAAUUAUCCUCUCUGUCACUUUUGAGCCAUUAUAUCUCCCUUGAACUCAAGUGAGCUUGUCGAAGGGCUGAGAAGCAACUCUGAGAGGAUAACUCUGGGUUAGAACGUCUAACUUGGACAAUGCAUCUUCAGACAAUAACAUCUCUUAUCUUCUUAUUUCAUCUUUGCAACUUCUAAUCACUGCAUGCCAGGCCAGUUCUAUCUUCUUUGUCAAUAUCGAGAACAGAUUCUCCUAGUUUUAUAACUCGCGAGUUCUAUCUUUUUUAUUCAUUGCUUCCUAUGCUAAUUGUCAUUUAGUUCAGAGAACAGAUUCUCCUUUUUUUUUUUUCCUUCCUUAUCUGUGUCCAUUGGCUAUAAAAUGGAAAAGGUAAAUAAGAAGAGAAAUCUAGACGUGUGAGUUCAAAGAGUUGGUUGACUGCAAGAAUUUCAAACUGGAAGACAUAUUAGGUCAUCUUUCAUGGUAUUUCAAAGCUUGUACACUACAUUUCAGAUUGUUUGCCAAAACUUCAGUGAUGAAACAGGAAAAUGGAAAAAACCCAGUCUUCUUCUCAUGUUUCUUUUACGUUUUAUGUUUGUAGUCUAGUGAUAAGUUUAUGCCCCUCCUUUAUGGUAUUUGCACUAUUUUGGUCGUUCUACAUGCUGCGGUUAAUUUUCGAUUCUAUUUGGUUUUUACUCAAAAUAAAAAAAUAAUAAUAAUAAUAACUAAACCAAAAGUUUUUAUUAUUUUAAAUUAAUAACCGAAACUGGUUCAAACUAGUUAUUUUAGUUCGGUUCAGUUAAUUGAAGGAAAAAACCGAUUUAAUAAAACUAUCGAGUGUUAAAUCCCCUGCUGCGAAUCACUUCAUUCUAAUCCAGAAAUAGCAUAUUAUCCCGAACGUAAAUAAUAGGAGUAAUAGCAUAAAAAGGAAGGAAAAAAAAACAUAUUUUCUCCCGAUGGAAGCGUAAGUUUCUUCAAUAGGCUUUGUCCAUUGCAGAAGUGUUCCACCAGCGUCCAACAAUAAUGCAUCAUAUGCUUUUUUAACAUACUUUAUUGCUCCUGUAAUGUAAUGAAACAAAGUGAACGAAUCUGAUCUAUUGAAAUAGUGUACGCAUUUAUAUAUAUGUACUAAUAAAUAAAUAAAUAAAUAAAGCACUAAGUAGAAAGGAAAAGUGACCAGACCAGCAGAGUGGAUGGCAAUGGAAGAAGAGCUUGAUAGCUUCAAUUUGAUAGGUUUCAGAGCUUUAAGCAAAUAGUUCCCAUGACAUUGGCCAAACGGGAAAUGGAGAUUUAGGAAUGGAAUUGAGCAAAAUAAAAGAAAGAUAUACCUUUAAAGAUUGCUAGAUACCUUUGUUUUUUCUCGAGACUUUGAACCUUAAAACUGGAGAAGACAAGAAACCAGAGAAGGGGAGAUGCGAGAACUGAGAUAGAGAGAAAACCUGGAGGAGGGCGGCGGCUGGGUUUGACUUGGCCUUUAGAGUUAGAAGAAAAGUUUAUAUUUAUACUGUUUUUCUUUCAGUGGUGGUUUUCUUGCUCACCCCUAAUUACCAUGUCGUGGAACAAAUUAGGAUAAGAGUUGUAUUGAUCUCAAAUAAGCUGAUGCCGUCGUACCAGAGAGCUCAUGAAGAAAAAAAUUGAGGAGUUCCAGUGAAGAUGAUACGCAGAAUAAUCUUGAAUUUAGAACAGUACUAGUUGGCAAAGAAGGAACAAAACUGAAAUGCAUGGUAAAUGAUUUAAAAUUGUGAGAAAGAAAUCGGGAUUCAAUGAUUUUGUUUUGAAUUUGAUGUUCUUAAUUCCUUUCUUCUUCCCCCGUGUCUCCAACCCAACGGUGUCUUGUUUCUGAGUAUGAAAGCAGGAUUCAAUGAUUUUGCUUUGAAUUUGCUGUAAUCAAAGCAAAAGAGGAACUGCUGGCUUGCCCUGAAACUAAGAAACUAAAACACGACAGCAUUUUGGAGAAUGGUGAAGCUGUUUGUGUGAAAUAGGUUAAGACUCAUUGUCCAGUGAGGACUUCAACAUUUGGCAAAUGAAUAUCACUUCGAGGAUAGAACAGAUACGAGGAAUAAAGCUAAAAACCGCAACUUUGCUUGACUUUUUCAUAUCUUCAAUCAUUUUUUCUUGGAACUCCACUAACAAUUGAAAAUGGCCAAAAUGCAUGAAUGAGGCCUUGAUACUGUGUUUGUCUCAUCUCUUUGUCGAUGCUUUAUUCUUGUCUGUACAUGUGAUUUAACAGGUAGACUAAAGCUCCUUUCUCCAAUGUAUUCCAUUCCUUAAGAUGCCAUUGAAGUCUUCCAUUCAUUUAUGAUUCCUUCUUCAUAUUCCUUAAUCAAUGGUGUUAGAUAUUGUUCUCAGCUUUUCUUACGAUGGUUAUUGACAAUUUAUCAUAAGGAGAUCUAAUGGCUGAAAAGCAAGUAACCAAGGAUGGAUAAUUAUUCUACACGCUACUAUAAAUUGAUCUAAAGGUCUUCAGACAGUAACCCUUUCCCCGAUUUCUUCUGUUCAUCUUUUACGACCACUAAUCAUUGCAUGCCUUGCUAGUUGUAUGAUCAAACAAUUGCUGGCCAGGUUACGUACUUUCUUGUGAUCCUUUUGAGUAUUCUCUUUCGCAAUCACUUGAACAUAUUGCUGGCCAUGCCGUUUCUCUUCGAGUUCAGAGAUCUCAGAUUAGAUUCUUCCAAUUUAACUUUCUUUUGCUUUUGGGUUUAUCUUUUAUGACUUCUCAUUGCUGCGUGACAUAUUUCUUGUGGAAUCUUUAAGUGUUGUGUGCAUUAGCAGAAAAUAAAAGGAAAAAAAUAAUCUUGACACGAUCCCAACGAAGAAGAGUUGAUUGCAAGAUUGUGGUCUGGGAAAAAAACUGAUUUCUUAAGCAAUAACGAUCUCAAAUUAACUUGCCUAAUUAUUGUAAUGCUAUCCGAUUGUAAUUCGCUGUGGUGAAGCUAUGCUUUCAUGCAUCAAAUUUUAUGCCAUUUGAUCACAGAGCAUACCGCUUGAUAGGCUAUGAACUCUAGAUUAAUAAAGUUCAGCAAUAUUCUUGCUCUGGUAGUCUAGGUCUACUUUAGCCAUGGAGACAAUAUAGUUGUGAAGUAAAUGAUUAGAAAGAUGAGAGAAGCAGAGUACUACACUAAUUAUAAGACUUCAUUAAAACCACACCAGAGGCCACAGACAUGGCCAAUACAUAACAAUGAAGAAGACACAAAGAUAAAGACACUCACGGACACUUUUGUUUGUUCACUCCACACCCACAAGUACAGAAGAACACAGAUUAUUUAUCAGAAAUUACAUUAUUAAUCCACUCCCAAUCCCACAUCAAACAUGAUAGUUGAUGUGCUUGCUUAAUGACCGCAUGUGCAGGUAGUGCAAGUGCAGCCAGUACCGCAGUUGCACUUGCCAUCGUUCUCAGCUGCUGGCACCUCCAUGACUACGGAGGAGACAUAGCUGCAAAAAGAAUUAGACUCCAUUGUAUUAGCAUCGUGUUCCCAUUUCCUUCAUUAUCAAUCUUAACUGACGAACCAAAAAUGUUUAGGAAUAAAGCAAUAUAUAUUAUUCAUUCUGCUUAUUAAUCAUCAGUGCAUGCUGAAGCUUCAAUCAUGUCUCUCAACGCUAAUUAAGACUACGACAACAGGACUUUAAAGAUAGAGAUGCGAAAGUUACUUCUUCUCAGUCUCGACGAUGCCAGCAGUGUAGCUGCUUCCCUUCUUGCUGCAAAUUAAUCACAAAUUGCAUGGCAUGAGAGAGCAGAUAGCAUAAUGUAUGCACGAAAGCCAUGCAGAAACAUGAACUACCUACUAUACAGCUUGCACAACAUAUAUAAACCAUAAACAAGCAAGAGCUGCUUAAUCAGGUUUGCAAAAGAAGGGGAAAAAAAGAAGAAGAAUUCUUACACACACUGGGUCUUGUCAGCGCAGUCGCAGGUGUCGCAGGUGCUAGACAUGAUGAUUGAUUGAUUAAGCUUAAAUGGAUGAACUAAAAGACUUGGAGUAUGAAUGUGUUCUCUGUGUAGCUUAAUGAGUUGUUAUAUCUUCAAGCCCUGCUCUAUUUAUAGAAGGAGAGAGCGCAUCAGUAAUGGCUGCGAUGAAGAGGAAGGGCAAUUGUGGGACCCUCUUAAGGCAUGAGAGAAGCACACUCUUCUCGAGGAAACGUCCGAAGGAAUCUUGA
rnacentral:lncRNA from 1 species